rnacentral:lncRNA from 1 species
UGGUGGUGAGUGCAAAUCACUGCAUUAACUUCUGCAAAACCUUCCAAUAUCUCAAACAAGAAGGGUUCAAAUGGAUUGCCCGGAGAACCCACCUCUGUUGGCUCUGAUGGGGCUCCACACAGGAGGAUGACUCAGACCCGGAUUUGGAGUGUCUUGCAAGCAAAUGCAUUUGAAGAAAGAGUUCAGCAGGCCUCACCUCUGUAAGAAAUAUAAAGCAAGUAUUAAGAUAUACUCAAUGCAGCCAUAGCAUUGCACUUUAGCCAACAAUUGUUUAUAAACCAGAAUCUAGAAUCUCCAUUAGAUUUAUAUUCCCAUUUGUCAUGCGUCCAGCCUACAGUCCAUUUUGUUAACCAGAUGGUAUGUACAGGAAACAGAAGGUUCCACUUCUAGGAAAAUUUUCAUUAUGGAAGGCAUGCAUUUAAUAUCAUUAACAUUGUUGAUAAACUGGAUGUUAGAAUAGAUAAUUGUCCAUAUGCCAGAUGAUUCCUAUAAGAAUUUGUCAUCAGUGGACAAAUGGGAUACCAUAUAAUUAAUGAUAUUCUAAUUAUUGAGUUUUUCCAUAUGCCACAUUGAAGCAAACUUUUUGCCCUUUAGUAUAUCAGACACUUGUUACAAUGCAUUUUAUCUACACCGACCCUAAAUAUUUCCUUUAACAUUCCCUAAAGUUCUAUUUAACAUUUCACCUUUUAUUUGGUAAGAAACAUUUUCUUGGUGGUCUAUAUUGCACUGACCAAGAAGCCUUCACUCCCAACCCCUUGUCACCUAAGCCAAACUUUAGGGAAACAAAUUUCACGAGUUUGUAUGAACAUUCACAUUUUUGGAAAUAUUUUCAACAACGUAAAUGCAUCUUUAUUGAUAUUUGUACAUAUUUUAUGGAAUACAUUGUUGGUAUGCUACUAUAGCUGGAUUAGGUUGACAAUUUUGUUCCAAAAGCAUUGGUCUAAUUCUACUUCCAAUAAGACUUAUCGUAUUUAGAGCAAGGUUGAAGACUCAAAGUUAGUACAACUUGGUAAGGUAUGUAGUUUGGAUCCUGGUUCAAGUAAUGACGAAAAAAAUGCAAUUUGAAUCUUUAAAGAAAUCAAAGAAUGUUUAAGGAGUGCUUGAGUCAACUUAAAGCAUGAAAAAUGAGGAAGGGGGAAGGAAUGUUUGGAUGCCCAAUAGGGCUGCUUAAACGCAUUAAAGCACAAAAGCAGCCUUGGGGAUUGCACAACUGCCUCUUGGGAAACAUGAAAAAUUAUAUAUAUUUCAAAAUUAAAAAUUUUUACUUUUCUUAUCAGCUCUUGUUUUCCAAAUUUUUGAAAGACUUGAUAAAAUCCAAUUAGGGUUUUCCACCUAUAGUUUAGGGGGAUAAACCCAAAGGGCCGGAUGGUUUUUUUGUGGCCUUUUGGCAAUUUAAUUGGGACUUUGUGAAAAGUGAAGUGAUUAGUUUUUUUAGGAAGUUCUAUGAGUUAGCUCUUCUAAAAGAAGUUUAAAUGCCACUUUUAUAAUGUUAUUCUAGUAAAAAAGAGGUACUGAAGAGUUAAAAUAUUUUAGACUAAUAAGCUUGGGAAGAUUUAUACAAGCUUCUAGCAAAAGUCCUAGCAAACAAACUAAAAAACAUGGUGGAAGAAAUGGUCUUGACUUACCAGCAUGUGUUUGUGGAGGGUAAGCAAAUUUUGACACGAUUCUCAUAGCAAACGAAGCCAUUGACUUUAGGAUGAAAAGUGUCGACAAAGGGGUUAUAUGUAAGUUGGAUAUCAAGAAGACUUUUGAUCAUGUCAACCAAGACUUAUUAGAAGUUUAAAAAAAAAUGGGCUUUGGUCCCAAGUGGAUCAGUGGGAUUAAGUGGUGUAUCUUUACAUCUUAGUUCUUUGUCUUGGUUAAUGAAACCCCAAGAGGCUUCUUUAAGAGUUUUAGAGGCUUAAGAUAGAGUCAUCCUCUAUUCCCAUAUCUCUUCAUCUUUGCCAUGGAGGCACUCUCCACAAUCCUAAACCAAGUAAAAGAAGAGGGUUUCGUCACGGGUUUCUCAAUUGAUAGAAGAAGAGCGGAAAUGGAGUCAUCUCACUUGUUAUUUGCUAAUGAUACUCUUAUCUUGGGUGAUGCCACAAAGGAGCAAGAAGAAUACUUAAGUUAGACAUUCAUAUGGUUUGAGACUAUCUCAAGCCUAAGGAUCGAUUUGGAGAAAAGCAAGUUGAUUCCUGUUGAAGGGUUGCGAAUGAGGAAGAUCUAACUAGGGUUUUGGGAUUAGCAUGGAACUCUCUCACAAAAUAUCUAGGUCUUCCAUUGGGAGCUCCUUUCAAAUCAACUCAAGUAUGGGAUGUGGUAGAGGAGAGAUAUAAUAAAUGGCUUGCUAUGUGGAAAAAAAGUACCCAUCAAAAGAAGGAAGACCGACUUUGAUAAAAAGUAUUAUUUCUACCUAGCUAAUUUAUCACGUCUCUUUUUGUUAUAUCAAGAAAGGUUAAUUUGAGACUAAAAAAGAUUUGACGGGAUUUUAUUUGGGGGCAAGGACCCUUGAGAGCAAGUCCCAUUUUCUAAAUUGGCUAUUAAUUUGUAUGGACAAGAGAAGUGGGGGCUUAGAUAUGAGAAAAUUGUCCAAUGUCAACAAGGAUCUACUUAGCAAGUGGUGUUGGAGAUUUGCUUGUGAGAGUGACUUCCAUUGGAAGCGAGUAAUUUCAAGAAAGUAUGAGAAGGAAGAAAGGGGAUGGUGCUUUAGAAGAGCGAGGGAAGGAUGUAGGGUGGGAGUGUGAAAGACUAUCAGAAGUGGGUAUAAAGGCUUUAAAUGUAUAACCAUUUUCAAAAUGCAAAAUGGGCUAAGAGUGAAGUUUUGGUUAGAUAGACUUUUCCCACAUUAUUCUUAAUAGCCACCACCAAAGUUGUGUGAAUAGCCAAGGUGUGGGAGCAAGAAAGGAAGGAACCCUAGGUUACAAGAUAGAUCCGUGACUAAGAGCUAGAUAGGGUGGAGGCUGGGGACAAUUGAUUUAUAGCGAUGUUGAGGAUAAGAUGAUUUGACCAAAUUCAAAAUAUGGUAAUUUUCUCAGUUAAAUCUUUCUUGUCUUCCUUAUCUAUUGAAAGAUCAAAGGUGUUCCCUACAAGUACGACUUGGAAUCCUCGAGUACUAGUGAGGAAAGGUUUUUUUCGCUUGGGAAGCUACAUAAGGGAGGAUAUUGAUGUUAGACCAACAUAAAAGGAGGGGACAGAUAAUUCUGAAUGUAUGCUAUUUAUGCAAAGGAGAAGAAGAAAUAAUUAAUCACAUCCUCCUUCAUUGUUCAAGAGUAGUCAUGCUAUGAUAACUAAUUUAUACUUUAUUUAGGAUAGAAUGGGUGUUGGAAUCCAUAGUAAGACACCCUUUUAAGCUGACACAAAUAUUUUAUUAGGAAAAAGAGGAAAAAAAGUUUUGGAAAACUGCUCCUUUGUGCUUCUUUUGGACCAUUUGAAAAGGAAAAAAUUGGAGAGUCUUUAAUAAUAAUGAAAAAAGUGGAUCAACUAUUAAAUAAUUCUUUAUGUAUAAUUUUUUACGAGAUAACACUUUUUCAUGUUGGACUUUGUUGAUUGGCUGAGCUUUAAGUAAGACAUGGGAGCUGUUUUUUGGUUAUCUUUUAGCUUUAGUUGGCCUUUUGGUUCUUUUGUAUACACCAUGUAUACUUUUGUGCAUCCUUUUGUUAGCCACUAUUAGUAAAUUUAGUUUUUUCCCAUAAAAAAAAAAGGUUUUUAUACCUAUAAAAAGUUAGAAGAAUUUUCAUUAACACAUGAGCGAAAAAGACAUCUGUCAUUGUCCUACCCUAGAUCCUAAACUCCCAAAAACUUUUCAAGUAGCAUCUUGAAGUCCUUUUACUAGGUGGCAAAGAUGGUUGGAUAGUGUGCCUUAAGAGAAGUUGAUAUAAAUUCACUGAAGAACAUGAAGGUGCAAUGCUAAGGUUAGGAAGAAGAGCAUAAAUACUGGUCGAAGUCUUUUAGGAGAAGGAUUUUAGGGGGUGUUUUAUAUGUUGCUUGUCUUGUUCAUUAUUUAUCACAAUUACUUUCAUGAUCAUAUGUGGAUGAAUCUAAUUAAUAAUUGAACAAGUCGGUAAAAAUUUAAAAAUUGCCAUAACAUAUUGGACUACCUAUUCAACUCUCCUUCUAGGUAGUUUUAUUUAUUAAAAAUUAAGAAUAUACUUUCAAUUGAUAUCAAAGCAAGUUAAAUUAAAAUUAAUUUUUUUGAGUCCUACUUUAAAUCUUAAGACAUGGAAGCCAAAUGAUGGAUCUUCUAUUAACUGCCCUCCAUUUUUUUAUAGAACCAAUUAUCCCUAUUGAAAAGCAAAAAUCAAAUUGUUGACAAUUAUCCCUAUUGUUAAUCUACUAAUCUAGUUAGAUAGGUUGACAAUUUUGCUUCAAAAACACCAAUCUGAUGCCAUGCUAUGCAAUGGGACUUAUUUGCUUCAUCACAAGGUUGAAGACUUGAGUUAGUGAAAGCAUGGUAAGGGAAGUAUGUGGUUUGGAUGCUUGGUUAACGUAAAGGCAAAAUAAAAGAAGAAUUUGAGUCUUUAAAGAAGUCAAAGAAUGUUUAAGAACACCCAAAGGCACAAAGAAGUGCUUGAGCCAACUUAAAAGUAUGAAAAACGACGAAGUAAGAAAGAACUCUCAAACACCUCUCAAGAAAUGUGAAAUAUAUAUAUAUAUAUUUUAAAUAUAAAAAAUUUAGCUUCCAAAUUCUUAAAAGACUUGGUAUCUUGUAAGACUAGUUGAAGAUUUUUCACAAAAACACACACAGAAAAAAGAUAUAUGUCGUGAUUUUGCCUUAAAUCCCAAACUCUCAAAAACCUUUUAACUCAAAUUUUGAAAGUUCUUUCAAUAGAAUAGCAAGGGUGACAAGACUCUUGGAUAACAAAUUCGUGGGAGCAACAUAGGGAGGGGGCUAAUGGAGCCCUCAUUUCAAUUGACAACUCUAUAAUUAAGAAUCGGAAAGAGCAGAAGUCUUACUUCAAAAAUUGCAUCCUUUCUCAAUUAAAAGGGAUGAGGAAGAUGGUUUGAGUAGGAAGGAAACAAAGAUUAAUAAGUUUUCCGUCAAAUCUUUUGAUGCACCCUUAGCCUAGGAUGGUGAAGAUGGCUAUGACUGGCACAACUCACAGAAAGCAAUUUGAUGCCUCAUUUGGGACUUCACAACUACAAGUUCUAGCAACAAAUCCGAGUGGUACAGAGAACCCAACCCUGCAAAUUAUGAUCCAUAAAUUAAAUGGACAUAAUUUUCUUCAAUGAUCACAAUCGAUGAAGUUGUUCAUUAGAGGUAAAGGAAAGUUUGGCUAUCUCACAGGUGCCAACAAAGCACCUAAGCCAGAAGAUCUUACGUACUAAACUUGGGAUUUUGAGAACUCCAUGGUAAUGGUCUGGUUAAUCAACUCCAUGGAGGCAGCUAUUAGGCAAACCUACCUCUUUCUUCCUAGUUCCUACUGCCAAGGACCUUUGGGAUGCAAUCCAAGAGACUUAUUCAGAUCUAGGUAAUGUUGCUCAAAUGUUUCAAAUUAAGACUAAGUUGAAAGAUAUCAAACAAGGUAGUUAUAAUGUUACACAAUACUAAAAUAUCCUUCAAAAUGCAUGACAAGAACUUGAUUUAUUCUCUAAUAUGGAAUGGAAAUGUGCUGAAGAUAGUGCCCAUUAUUGCAAGAUUCUCGACAAAGGGCAUUUGAUUUUUUGGCAGGACUCAACAAGGAACUCGAUGAGGUUUGAGACCAAAUCUUAGGAAAAGAGCCAAUGCCAUCUAUAAGGGAGAUCUUCACUGAGGUGCGACGGAAAAACAGUAGGCGAAAAGUGAUGUUGGGAGAACAACAAUCCGACCAAUUUGAGACUUUUGCCUUCAUUAUUCAUGGUGGGGAGACUUUUCAACUAAGUGACCAACGACCAGGAAAAAGGGGUUAUCGUCCUUGGCGUGACCACUGUCGGAAAUGAGGCCACACAAGAGGAUAGGUGUUGGAAGAUCCAAGGGAAGCCACUUGCUAGGAGAAACUUGAGACCUGACUGCAAUUCCAAAGCCUACCAUAGUGAAUCCAAGAACCUUGACAACCAAAUAGCUACUUCACCAUUCACCAAGGAGUAGUUAGAGGUCUUACAACAUCUCAUUUAUCCACAAAUCGCAUCCACUUUUGUCUCAAAUUUGCCCAACGUCAAUUCCUCACCAUUUUGCUCUCUAGCACAAUCAGGUAGAACUCAAUACCCAUUUAGUGACUUAGCCAAUUCUUAUAAACCUUGGACCACCAAUUAUGGAGCAACAAAUCACAUAAUAGAGUCAUCCACAUCAUUUACAACAUAUGUACCAUGGGCUGGUAAUAUGAAAGUCCGAAUUCCAGAUGGGUCAUAUACCCUAGUCGCUGGAAAAGGAACCAUCUCCUUAACAAAAGCUCUUCUCUUGAAUCAGUCUUACAUGUCUCAAUUGUCAUGUAAUUUAUUGUUCAUUAGCAAACUCUAGUGAGAUCUCAAUUGUGUAGCUAAAUUUUCUUCUACUGGUGUUGUUUUUCAGGACUUAGCUUCGAGGAGGACAAUUGGCAAUGCAUGUAAGUGUGAAGGUCUAUACCGCUUUGUUGACCAUGAAGUUGUGUAAGACAAGCCGUUGUUGCUUGUAGCAAUGUUUUAUCUUUUCUUUUUUAUCAUGAAAUAAUGUUAUGACACUAUAGAUUAGGUUACCCUAACUUUUUGUAUAUUAGGUUCUUGUUUCCAAAACUUUUCAAAAAUAAAAGGCUAUCUAAUGUUCAAUGAUAAGUGUGUCAAAUGGCACACCAAAUUAGUAUUUCCUACUAAACCUUACAGGUCCUCUAAACCUUUUACUCUCACAUGCAAUGAUCUUUGGGGACCAUCUCGAGUAACAAAUCCAACUGGUACAAAAUGGUUCAUUACCUUCAUCCAUGAUUAUUCAAGAAUUUGAUGGGUUUACCUCCUUAAAGAAAAAUCCGAAGUCUUUCAAACCUUUAAAAAUUUCUAUUCAAUGAUGAAAAACAAGUUUCAAACAUCCAUUAAAAUUCUUAGAAUUGACAAUGGUAGUGAAUAUAUAAAUGUUGGCCUUGGAGAAUUUUUAUCAACUAAUGGGAUUAUUCAUCUAAAUUCAUGUGUAGAUACUCCACAAAAAAAUAGAGUUGCUGAAAGAAAGAAUAAACACUUCUUAGAAGUUGCUCGGUCCUUAUUAUUUUCAAUGAAUGCUAGAAAAAUACAUUGGGGGAUGCCAUUCUUACAACAACAUAUUUGAUCAAUAGGAUGCCCUCAAAAGUUCUUAUUGCUGUUUUUCUUGCUUCAUUCCUAGAUUCCCGAAUUUGCCAAGAUUUACCAGUUAAAAUUUUCAGGUGCACUGCUUUUGUACAUAUUCAUUCACAUAAUCGUGGCAAAUUUGAUCAUAAGGCUAUAAAAUGCUUAUUUUUAGGAUAUGCAUCAACUAAAAGAGGAUAUAGAUGUUUUGAUCCUGUUAAUUGGAAAUUGUACAUCUCUAAAGAUGUAACCUUCUUUGAACAACAGUCCUAUUACACUUCACUUCAGGGGGAGAAUUCUAGCGAAGCUUCGUCAUGGGAAAUUCCACAAUCUCUCAUUUUCUAGUUCCAACACUCUUAGCAACCAAUUCGGUAUCUUCUCAAAUCUCACCAUCCAUCCCUUCCAUUUAGUCGAACCCAACAAUAGUUCCAAUACAUGAUAGAUUGUUAAAUGCAGGGGAAGAUAAAGCAUUGCCACCAAUAGCCUAGUCUACACCACAGUUCAAAGUCUACUCAAGGGAGUGUAUGGUACCUGAUACACUCACGCCUUGCCAUGAAGCCACGCUAGAGAUAAUGCCUAAAUCAAGUUUAGAUAAUUCUUUAUCCCCCUCACUUCUUGUAGACCUAGUGCCUAAUUCAUCCCAUAUCUAAUUUUGUCUCUUAUCAUAUAUUAUCCUUAUCUUUUUUUGCUUUUACCUCUCACCUUUCUUCCUUAGAAAUUCCAAAAAAUGUACAGGAAGCAUUUGGUGAUCCAAGAUAGAAAGCAACGAUUGUGGAGGAAGUCAAAGCUUUGAAAAAAAAUGGAAUGUGGGAACUUGUUACCUUACUGAAAGGUAAAAGAAUUAUGGGAUGUAAAUAGGUCUUUUUAGUAAAAUACAAAUAUGAUGGCUUGGUGGAACGGUACAAGGCAAGAUUGGUUGCUAAAGGAUUUACUCAGGCUUAUGAGAUAGAUUACCAGGAGGCUUUUGCACUGGUGACAAAACUAAACACAAUCCGAAUUCUUCCCUCCUUGGCUGCAAACCAUGAUUAGCCUCUUCAGCAGUUGGACAUAAAAAAUGUUUUUCUCAAAGAGGAAUUAGAGGAGGAGGUUUACAUGGAUGUACCACUAGGACUUGAACAAGGAAGCUCCAAUAAAGUUUGUCGAUUGAAGAAAGCUCUCUACAGUCUCAAAUAAUCACCUUGGGUGUGGUUCAAAAGACUCUUAAGAGUAGUAAAACAAUAUGGCUAUCUUCAAGGACAUUCAAAUCAUACCAUAUUUUACAAAUUUACUGAUGAGGGUAAAAUAAUUGUUUUCAUGUUGAUGAUAUGAUUUUAAUAGACAAUGAUCAUGUAGAAAUUUAAGCUUUGAAGAAGAUCCUAGCUAAGGAGUUUGAGGUGAAGGACCUUAGUGCACUAAGGUAUUUUCUAAGGAUGGAGAUUGCCAGAAGUAAAAAUGGAAUCUUUGUUUCAUAAAGAAAGUAUACUUUAGACUUACUCAAGGAAACAAAGAUGCUUGGUUGCAAGCCUAGUGACAUUCCGAUUAAUUCAAGACAAAAAAUGGACCCGACUAAAAAAGGGGAUCCAAUUGACAAAGGAAGAUACCAACGGCUGGUUGGAAAACUCAUCUAACUCACUCAGACUAGGCCGGAUAUUGCUUUUGUAGUGAGUACAAUCAGUCAGUAAAUGCAUUCUUGAUAUGAAGCACACAUGAAUGUUGUCUAUAAAAUACUACAAUAUCUCAAAGGAACCCCAGGAAAAGGACUUCACUUUGGAAAGCAUGACUAAUUCAAGAUAGAGGUCUUCACGGAUGCAGAUUGGGCGGGGUUUAUAAAAGAUAGGAGGUCAACAUUUGGCUACUGUACAUUUCUAUUAGGAAAUCUUGUCAUGUGGAGAAGUAAAAAACAAAAUGUGGUGGUGAGGAGUAGUGCUAAAGCUGAGUUUAGAUUGAUAGCUCAUGGAAUUUGUGAAGUCUUGUGGAUCAAGAAAGUAUUAGAAGAACUAAAGAUUACAAUUCAUCCUCCAGCUAUGAUGUAUUGUGACAACAAGGCAGCUAUAAGCAUCCCCACAAUCCAAUCCACCACAAUCGAACAAAACAUGUUGAGGUGGACCAACAUUUCAUCAGGGAAAAAAUUGAGCAAGGGGAAAUAUGCAUGACAUAUGUGCCGUCCAAAAGCCAAAUCGCAGAUGUUUUAACUAAGGGGAUUCCAAGAGAAGACUUUGAAGAUAAUGUGGACAAGUUGGGUAUAACAGACAACUAUAUCCCAACUUGAAGGGGAGUGUUGAAAAGUUAACUUGGUUAGACUAGUUCAAAUUGGAUCUAGAAUUUUAGAAUGAAUAGGUUCCUUGAUUUAAGGAAUUAUUUGAAUUCUAGUUUUUUUGUACGUAGUCAAAGUUUUAUUAGGAUUAGGAUUAGAAUUAGAUUUGUUUUUUCGUUUCCUUAUUUUUAGCAUAGGAAUUAUCUAUCUGCUGAUUAUUGAAAUGGAUGUAACCCGUGUUCUGAAUCAUUAGAGCAAUAAAAUAAGUUUAUAAAAAAAAAAUCCUUUCACAGUUUUACCUAACCCCUCCCCCAACACUUCAAACCAUCCAAUGUAAAGACAGUUUUCAGUGUUGGUUAUCCAAUUACAUAAAGCAACCCCAUAGGCUUUCACUAUCGUGUCUCUCUAAAAUUGCAGUCAUGGUAAAAUCUUGGUCUAUUUAAUCAUCAAGGACACCCAAGCACAAGAAUUCUCUAAAAAUAGAAAUAGAUAAUUGAAGACUUGUUAUUGAACAGUAUAACACGACUUAUAUAUGCCCAUGUCAACCAAUAUAAUAUCGACACCCACAAAUAUAUCUAUCAUCUAUCUAGAUCCAUCAUAAUUUUUUGUGAAUGAAUAAAGUGAGUUAAAAAAUAGAAUAUGGACUUAUAUACAUGUGAUUUCAUCAUCACUAGCAUCUAGUAUUUUCCUUGGUUGCAGGGUUUCGGCUGAUCAGCAUUCAGGUGGAUGUUUUCAUGGCUAUAGGCCAGGCCUAUUAAGUGUAAAAGGGGCUAAUUCCAGUAAACCAGUUAAACCACCGCUAGCUUGUAACCGUAAAUAAAUUAAAACAAUUAUAUGCAAAACCAGUUUGGUCAAAAUCGCUCAUCAACCUAACCAGGAAGUAGCAGUUUUCAGUCUGCAAGGCCCAUUAUCCAGACCAAUCCUCUCCCCAGUUCCAAAGAAAAUACAUAUAUAUAAACAAAAACAAAGAAACAAGAUAAAACCCCAUAGUUUGAAUGUCAAAUUUCUUUAGGGGUAUUGAUAACAAGCCAACCAAUUAAAGGAAACAAUAACACUUUAAUAGGCCAUCUUAGCCAUUAGAAUUAUAAAAUAGGAACAUUGGAUAAAUGGAAAUAUGCAUUUGUCAAGUGAAAACCAUACCUGGUGGCCAAGAAAACCAUUCAAGACAGAGAUUUUUCUCCCACUUUGCUUUAGAGCCUCUGCUUGCCUCUGCUUGAGCUAGCAAUGUUGGGACAAAAGGUAAGGGAAUCAGAGAAAUCUCUUGGGCUUUCAUGAGACUCUUUAUAGCAUGUGACAAAUACUGGGAAUCACACUGCUGCCUGGCAAGCUCCAUACAAAUGACACCUGGACCACCCAAUGAUUUAAUUAUGGGAGGUGAGAGAGAGAAGAAAACAUGCAGCAAUAUCUAUCUAUCUAUCUAUAGAUAGAUAGAUAGAUAGCUAGAGAGAGAGAGAGAGGAAAGGUGAAGUCUUCACUUAUAAAGAGACAGAAAGGAAACAAGCAGCAACACUUUGUAAUCAAUUAGUAGUACAGAUAGUUAGAGAGAGGGAGGAAAGGCGAAGUCUUCACUUAUAAAGAGACAGAAAGGAAACAAGCAGCAAUAUUUUGUAAUCAAUUAAUAGUUUCUUCCCUGACCAGAGGGAUCCAGUCAUAUAGCUAACAAAUUGAAACUGCCUAAGUGUAGAAUAAACUACUUGCAAAAUUGCCAAAAAGAAUUUCAGGAUAAAUCACUCUAGAUUCUUAAAGCUCCAAAAGAUGAAAAAUUUUGUCAAGAACCUCAAUGUGCCAAAUUUUUGUUUUUUUUUUUUAAAAAAAAGAAGAUGUCACAAAGAUAUAAUUUUUUUAUUUUUUUAAUUUUUUGAUAGGAAACGAUAAAGUGAUAUAUUGAUAGAAAAAAAAAAGUACAAGAGAAGGAUGAGGAAUCCUCCCACCAAAGAAAAACUAAACUACAAGAAUACAAAAACAAGAAUCUACAAUGUAAAAACAAACAAUCUCUCUAGGUUAAACCAUCCCAUUGGAGCUACACACUGCUAGCCAAUCUAGUUGUAACACAUUAAGGGGAAUCCCCUUAAAAACCAAGGAACAAAAAGCCUAAAGAGAAGCAAGGAAGUGAAUAGAAUCCCAAAGAUUCUCUGAAUUCCUUGCUUUAUCCUCAAAUAUUCUCGCAUUUCUUUUCCACCAUACAACCCAAAUUAAAGCAAUGUACACAGCUUGCCACAAAACUAUCCCUCUCUUAGAUAAUCCACAACCCUUAUAAUUAAUGGACAUCAUGUCGGAGAUGCUCCUCGGGGGGACCCAAUCCAUCUUGGCUAACUGAAAUAAUCUAUGCUACAACCCCAUCGUCAAAGAGCAAUGUAGGAAAAGAUGAUCUGCUGAUUCACCAUGCUUCAUGCACAGCUUAGAAAUGUCAGGACUAAGACCUUUGUAGGGUCUUCUCAAUUGUAGUAAGUCAUUAGUAUUUAUCUUCUUGUGUGCCACUAACCAAACAAAGGACUUGACUUUGAAAGGGACUUGAGAAUUCCAAAUGAACUUAGUAGGAAAACUGGAGAAGAACCAGAAAAUUGGGACAAGGCUAGAAAGAAAGACUUGACUGUAAAAAGCCCUGAAGAAGAUAAAGACCAAGAUUUCACAUCUGAAACCGAUGGUGAUAAGUGUAAACAAUCAAGUGACCGCAUGAGGCAUUCUAAAUCUUCUAAAUCUUCUAUCUCAAACAAAGAUAUAAUUUUCCUAAUACUUAAAAUAAAUCCUCAAUAAAUUUAAUUUCUAUUUAAAAAAAAAGGAUAAUGAAAGUUAAGUGGUCCUUCUUCUAAGAACACUCUGCUCAAAUUUGAAAUAAGACAUUUAAUACUUAAGUGUAAUCUUCAGCAGAACACAGAGGUCGAAAGAAUAUUUGAAGAAUCCAAUCUGAUAAUAGAUUGAUACCAUGACAUAGGAAGAUGCAGCUCUCAGUAUCUGACAACGAACAAGCUUGCGCAAGAAAUUCUUCUGCGCAGAGAAAAUCUUGAUUCUGAACAGAAAUCAGACCCUGCAGCAAAUCAAAUAAAGCCAUCCACUUGUUACAUGAACUCUUUCUCUCCUUUGAGCACUCCUUGAAGUUCAACUCUGAGAUGCUCAAAUCAUUUUGUAGUUCAUGGUGAGGAUCCAUGAAUUUAAGACAUAGCCAACCGAUACAAUAAUCUGUUUUAAGCUCCAAGCAUUUUAUAUACUCUUUCCGUAGAUUUUUAAAAUCAUCUUUUGCAACAUAAGCACGGCAUAGUUGCAAAUGCGCAAAAAAGAGGUAGCAAUCAGGAAGCAAGAGUGUUGAAGCAUUUUCAGCAUGGUUGACACAGCCAAGAUGAUCACCACCUUGCAAACUGAUUUCAGAAGCACAAAGUAGCAGCUGGAACUUUUGGUAUUGACAACAUGUAUCCUUCUUUAAAUAUAAGUGGUUGGAAAUAGCCACAAAAUUUAGCCGCUCAAUUAUUGUACAAAGAUGUCUUGGAAAUCUCUCUUCACGUGCCUUCUGUAGAAAAUUAAGUAUCAACAAGUAACGUGCAUUAUGGUUCCAAGGUUCUCUAUGCAACCACCUGCAUAUUAAAAUAAAGAAAAAUAAUUACUCUUGUUUUAAAAAUAAAUCACAUAGCUAGGAAUAACCAUGGAUCUUAUUCCUAAUAGUUCUCUCAGCCUGUUUGUAUUGAUUAAAGAAGAAAAGAACACAAUCUUUAGAAGAGAAAAAGAAGCUAACUGAACUAGCAGAAAAAUAAUGAUCCGAUUCAUUAUAUUAUACAUGCAAAAUUCCAGGACAUGCUAUUUUUAACAGAAACUUUGAAAAGUGCUUAUUUCUGCAAAGUUAAAAGAGCAUAGUUUUUAAAAAAUUUCAUGCACCACACAAUGAUAACAUAAUUCAAGCCUAAAGGCACAGGAGAAGUAAGUUAUGAUACUUCUGCAGCUGUUGUAUUGCUCCUGGUCCACUCAUGCACCGGUAUCUGCAUGUUGGGAAAGAGAAUUUCUGGUUGCUCAUGCCACUGGCAAAGCAAGCAACUGCUCCAGCACCAAGGAUCUCAAAUGCUGACUUUGAACCUUCUUUAUUGGGAGAGUGGGAGGGGUCUACAAUACAGCACCUACUAGCACUAUGAGCAUCUUCCCCUUCUUGAGAGGAUAGUAAAAGAUAACCAAGAAGAUUCCUGUCAAUAGUAAAAGAACCCAUUGAAACAAAGAUAUAAGAAUUACAAAAUAUUAAUAAGCUUUGCAAGAAACAUGUAUCAAUGAUAUGAUGUGCAAUGGAAAAUAAUGCUACAGUCAAAAACAUAUAUUUAAUAUAAAAUAGCUAAAAUAAGGAUGACAAAGUGGAUGAGUGGCAAAACAAGAGAUGACACUAUGAGAUAUGGAAUUUUACAUAGGAAAAAAAAAGUAGACAAAUAUGAGAAAAAUUAAAUCAACAUACUUGUGUUAUGUGCAACAAAAACCAAGGUUACACAAAAUCAUACACGGAUGAGCAUCCUGCUUCUACACAAAAUGGGAACCAAUAAAAGAAUGUUCAAAUAAAAGAAUUCCUUGACAAUUAAAUUGACUUCUCCAUGUCUUUAAAAGUUAUUCAGUUUCUCUCCUGCGAAAUGGUCUAGAACAAACAUACCGCAGCUAUCCUCAAAGCUUUUUUGCAAUUUUUUCCUAAAAAUAAAAAACCAUGCUAUCUUAGCAAGACAUCUUUUAUGGUAUAAGGCAACAACCAUAACACAUUAAAGAGCGAGAAUAAUAGGUACAGAAAACUAUGAGCUGAACCAUAAUGAAGAAGAAUAUGAUUGGUCCAUUCCUCUUAGCACUUGCACAAGCAAACAUCAGUUAGCUAUAGUACUAACUCGCCUCCUUAGCUGGUCUAAUCUCACAAUUUUCCCCAAACCACCUCCCAAACAAAGAAACCCACUUCGGCGGAGUCCGAAACCCGCUGGGGAAAAGGAUCUCCGAUAACUAACUCCAAAGAACAAUUUUUUUUUUUUUUUGAUAGGUAAAAGAAAAUUCAUUAAAAGCCAAAGAGGCUAAAGAAAGAGUAGACACAAAGUAUACUAGGAUACAUAGGUGCAAAAGGCAAAAGGACAAACAAAUCUGACCCUUACUAGGUAGCUAACCAGUCUACAAAAUCUAUCAAAGAGAAAGUGUGUUCCUCUAUAUACACCCUAGCCCAAUUCACAAAAGUGUACAAAAAAGUGGAUUUAAUUUCUUGGUCAUUCCUAGCAACAUCAUCGAAGGUCCUCCUAUUCCUUUCUUUUCAAAUGGUCCACAUCAAGCAGAGGGGGCAGCUCUCCAAGCUUUCUCCCUUUUCUUGCCCACAAAGGAACCAUGCCAUCCCAAGAGGUUCCUUCUCACAGAGGAGUGCAUCACCCAUUGCACCCCAAAAAGGGAGAAGAUCAGAAGUCAUAACAUUUUGGUUUUCUCACAAAACAAAAGCUUCAACAAUUUCUACCUCCUAAGCUUCAACCCAAUGUCCAACACCUCCCACCUCCUCCCAAUCUUCCACUAACCAAGCAUCCUUAGAAUUGGGAAUGGAAUACAAAGCAUGAAACAUUGCUCUCAAAAAAGAAUCACCAUACCAUAGCUCAAGCCAAAACCUAAUUCUCUUACCAUCACUAACUUCAAAUUUAGUUCUAGCCUGAAUAUAUAUCUACUGUUUCCUUCUAGUUUUCCACAACCUCACCCUUUACCAUUCCCUCCCUUCAUGAGAACACCACCCACCCAUCUUUUCACCAAACUUGGCCGAUAUCACCUGUCUCCAUGACCUAUCCCUCUCCACAACAAACCUCAAACACCAGGUUCCAAGAAAGGACUUGUUGAGCAUAGAUAUAUUUUUGAUACCUAAUCCAACCCUACUUUUGUCCAAGCAAACAAUUGACCAAUUAACUAAAUGAAGUUUCUUCACCAAGAUGCUAAACCCCAACCCCCCCAAAGGCGGUGUUUAACAAUAAAAAAUAUAUAAGUACUAACAAGUGAAAAAACAAAAAGCAGGCAGGUCUUAUUUUUAAGCAUAUCCAUUUUUAAAAAAAAAAAAAGGUCUCAUUUUUAACUGUGAUUGACAACACAAAUGAGUCGCCACUUGUAUUUGAAUUCAAUUUAAAGACCACUGAAACAAAAAGUCAUAGACUCUAAACUAAACACUUCAAGCAAAAGAUAGUAAGUUGUUUUAAAAUUUUAAAUAAGUCUUUAAAAUUGUUAUUACCCUUUUCUAUAGUUAAACUAUUUUUAAUAUUCAAUCAUUCUUGAAAUAAAUUACAUUGAAAAAGAAACUCCUUUUAUCAAUAUAUUCCUUUGUCGUUUCCUAUCAAAAAAAAAAAAAAAAACUCCUUUUACUUUAUUAUCAUUUGUAAAUUUUAAUAUUGGAAACUAAUAUUUUUGACUGCUUUUAAAAUUUUCUCAUUUUCCAUAAAAAAUCAAAGAUCUCACGAAAAUAUGAAAAAAUUAAUAUAUUAUUGUUACCACAUAAUAUAUAAAUUGAACAUAACUUUCACUAGAAAAUGUGUGAGUACAAGCUCUCUAUCAAAUUAAUAUAUUUCAUAAAAAAUAAUAUCAUGCACAUUUACAUGUAUAACACGUGUUUUGUAUAAUGAAAUGUUAGUGUAUAAGGAUCACUUGUUACAAUAAUAAUAUAAGAAUGCAUUUGUAAAACAAGCAACUUUAACAAUUGAAUUAAACUCAACCAUUAUGUUUUAAAUGAUAUAAAUAAACUUUUCACUUCUGUGAAUUCAGAAUUUUCAAAGUUCAAUAUUUAUAAUUAAGUAGUAAAGUUUUCAAUAGUUAAUUUACAAUUGUAUAAAACUCAAACACCACUAAGAUUUCCAACCUUAAUCAAAUGAGAAAGAGAGAGAGAGAUUCCAACGUCCCAUGUCGCAAGUGGUAGAAUGCAUCAUCAAAGUGCUUGUGAGUAGGUUAUACUUCAAUGCUAACUGAUUUAGAAAUAUUUCUGGUUCAUUAACAGAUUAAUCAAAGGGGCAUUAAAAUUUGAAAUGAAGAAAAGAGGGAAGAGCUAGUUUGCAGUGGAUUCGAAGUCUUUCAAAAUUGUCAUUGAGUGGUAAAGGGAUGUUAGAGUGGUAAAACUGUAAAAAGAGGACUAGCACUUUCAAGCUGGAUUAGAUUCGGCAAGAUGAAUUUGUCCCUGUUGUUGGAAGGUAUAGAAUCUUGUUGUAGGGAAGAAGAUGGGAAAAAGUUUUUCAAAGUGGGAUGGAGGGAGGUCCUUCAGGUUGAAGAGACACUCCAAUAGGGCAGGAAGGUUAAUUCAAUAUUCGAUUAGAUCUCCGUAGAGGCCAAGAGGUUCAUGUUGAUUUUCCCUCAAGGAAGGGGUAUUUUUGGGGGGUGGUCCAUUCUAGCUAGGAAGUUUCAGGAUUUUGGAGUGGCUUCCUCCUCUCUAAUCCCAAGGAGAGCAUUGUUGUAUGAGAGAAUGUUGGAAGUGUAUACCAAGUUGGUGUUUGCCUGAGGGGUCUUAUGUAGAGGUGGUUAAGAAGAGUUUUGGUGUGAUGGGUGAGGCGGUAUGCUAAUAGCUAGGAGUCAAGGAAGUGCAACAUAUGAACAAGCUUUUGAAGCAUUGCUUAGCGGAGAGAUGGGGGGGAUUUUCUGACUCUGUUCCCCACUUGCCCUCUUUGAAGAGGUGGGCUGUGAAGACUUGGAACCUGAAUGGUAGUGUGAGGUGAUCUCUGCUUGGGGGUGCUCUCAUUCUCUUCGAUUUUGUUGAGGCCUCUAAUGCGGAGUUGGUGCUUGUGUACUUUGGCGCAUUGUUUCUUAGACGCUUUGUUUAUAGAAUAUUAUUAUUUGCCUAUUAAAAAAAUUAAUCAAAAUAUAGAAACCAUUAGAAAAAAAAAUUGCAUUUACAACCAAAUUAAAACUCAAACCAGAGCCAAGACAAAACAAGGAAAAAAGACUAAAGAUGAUCAUCAACAUUUGUAAAGGUUUGUCAUAAACAGCUGCAUAGACCACAACUACACGCCUCUCACCAUAUUCAAUUAUGGAGUAUGAAGCAAAGACAAUAUAAAUGCAGUCACCAUCAUUCUUGAACAUGAAUCAUUUUUUUUCCCAUGACUCAUGUAUUUCAUUACUUGUUUCUACAGCUCAAGGGUUUUAUAGGUUUUGAGAACCUUUCUGUUCCUAGAUUUCGUUGAUAAGGUUGGGAUUGGCCUACAGCCUCCAGAAGGAUGUUCUGUGAUUCCCUUUCCCUCUUUUGUUUCUUUGGGUAUUUCUUGUGUACUUCUUUUGCACUAUGGCUGUGCCCUCUUCCAUAAUUUAAUUCUUAUCAUUUAAGCAAUAUGAAAACUCCAUUUUAUAAAUAAAAGAUUAAAUUAAAAGUGCCACAAGAGGAUGUAACCUACAUGCACAGAAAGAAUGCUUGUACUGUACCAAGCCAGGCCGUAUAAAGGAAAAGGAAUAUAUAUAUGUAUGUACAUAUGUAUAUAUAUGUAUAAGAAGAAGAAGAAGCACUUAAUACAAUUUUUGUGUGCAUCCUGUAUACUUUUGUGUGCCCUUCUUUAGGUGCUUUUAAUCCUUUUUUUUUUUUAUAAGUUGGUGCUUUUAAUACAAUUGCCUUUACCUAUAAAAAAAAAGUACUCUUUCUCCGAAAGUACAACACGCAAGGCCAAUAAAAUCCACAACAGAAUGUUUUUUGUCUAAAAGGCCACUGCGCUCAGCAAUAUUAAGCUCUAUCCCCUAAAAGGUCCUUUUGUUUCUCUCUUUCCAGAUGAGCCAGAUUAAAAAAUGGUGGCAGCCCUGCACGUUUUUCUCUAAUUCUUCUUAAUGGGACUACCAUAUCAACUAAAAACUGACUCUUUCGAUAGCAAGCACGCACCUAAGAUAUCUGAAAUGAAGAGAACCAAAGACCAUAAUUCUUGAGAAAAAUUGAGAAAUGGAUUAAUAGACAAUCACUGACUCUUCCUCUUACACUAAAAACACUAGCUUACCAAGGUCAACUCUUUAACAAAUGCCAACUUGUCUAGCCUUGACCUCCAAACCUGCUCAUCCAAACAUAAUCUCUGAAAAUGACGGAAAUUCCCUCUGCUAAUCCCCUCAUCACCAGUCCAGACAUCCCCAAUCUCAACUUCCUGAUAGUGUUGCAUCUUCAAAAGCAUUAGCCUACCUAUGGAAGAAUUUAAUGAUUCUGUCAUCCUCUUUCAACUAAAGGGCUCUGAAGUUUUUACACUGAUUUCUUCAAGAAUGGCCAACUUCCUGAAUACUCCUUUUUUCUUUUGUCCUCAACUCCACCUCUUCCUUUGGGAGGGCUAAUUCACUCUCCUUCAAAUCCCAUCUCUGAAUAUUAUUUAAAUUUUCCUUGUGUUACUGAGAUAUACAUGGCAUACAUUCUGGCUGAAUGAAGUUUCUGUUUUUUGUUUUGUUUUAGAAAGUUUUUGUUGGCACUAGCUGGUAGGUUAAGGCAUUAAUUACGUGUUCACCCAAAACCCAUCUGUGUUAGUUUUAGUCACUGAUGUCACCAUAUUGGAAUCAUUAGUCAUGAAUAAAGCCAUUUCAUUAGUUAGAUUUUCUCCAUCAUCAAUGUUUGCUUCUGCUUGACUCUGCUGAUAGGCUACAUUGUAACAAGUCUUUAAAUCAUUGAUUCCAGAGUCAACAGUGAGCUAGCAUAUAACACCCAGCUCCUGUCAGGACCUGCACCUUCUGACCUUCAGUAAAUUAUACACUACAAUUUUACACUAGAAUUAUAUAAUAACAUUGUUGUAUUUAUAUGAAUUUAACUUCAUAAUUAUAUUUUCUAUAUUUUAUUUUGUCAGUGUUUAGAAAAGCAGGAUUGGCAUGCCAAAAUGCUGAACCAGGACAGAUUUGAACCUGAGAGAACCUGAUUUAUCUGCACCUAGAUCUUGAACAAGAAUGGUGUUCAAACUUUCUCGAAUCCAAGGUCGGAUGGUUUGUACCAAAAAAAUGUCACACUUACGUUAAAGUUAAUUAAGAUGGAAGACACUUAUUUCAUCAACAUAAGAAUUAAUGCAUCCAUAUCAUUUCAGAUGCAACUAGCACAAUACUUGGGUGGGUCAGCUGAAAAGGUGCAGCCCAAUGAAAGUAUAAAUUUAGUGCAUUCCUGUUACCUUAUCAAAACACUGUUAGGGAACAUGUGAAGAGCUUUUCUAAGGUGAUGAACCCCAUUUUCAAAUCCAAGGCAGUGCUCUGAUCCUUGUUUGACCUGCAUAACACAAGCAAAACAAAGAUCAGCUUCACAUUGACCAUUCAAAUCCAUGUAAAACCAGCUAAAAGUAAGAUGCUUAAGCUGCAACUAUACAAUUAGAAAGAGAAAACUCACCAGUUUACCAAGUGCUACUAAACAGUGCAUUCUAGCGAUCUCUUCAUGAGAUGCAAGAAAGUAUCGACUGCUUGAAACAACUGAUUCCAGCUUAUUACUUUCAUCAAGAGCGUCAAUGGCGGACACAACAAAACUAAUCUUUGAAUUCUGAAAUAGUUCUUUCGGCAUUUUCAAAAUGCUUAUUAUUGCUGAUUCCUGCCCAGAUAUUUUAUACAGAAAUUUACAUAUGAAACUAACAGAAGUGGCCCUAGAAGCCUGUUCCAUGGCAGAAACACUUGCAGCUAGAUCCCUUGCCACAGACAGGGCAAGGUCAUUUUCACCAAUUUGCCAUAAGGAGAUAGCAUAUAUUUGCAAACCUUGUGCAUCAAGCAGACCUAGAAGAGUAAAUACAGUAUACAAUGUGUUAGAAAAAUGAAAUGCAACUUACAGGAUCCUACAUUCGACUUGACAAAACUUGAUCCAAGCAUCUAUUCUAAAAAAUAGCUUUUUCAUGUUUGCAUUUGAACAGUAUUAUUUUUGUUUUCUAAUCGGAAAUAGAAUUUUAUUACUAGAAAGAGAUAUAUAAGGAGAGAUCCUUGAGGAAAAAGAAAAUGCAAAAAACCAAAGCUACAAAAAAAUUGAAUAUCAGAAGAAAUCAGCAGGGAUAAAAAUCCCCUCCAAAAACCUCAAGCGAUAUAGCUCUCCUAUUGGCCAGCAUAUCCUAUUCCUGACUUGCUAAAUUAGGCUGUAAUAAUAAAGCAACUUCCUUUGGAAGCAUCAAAGUUCAAUCAGUUUUAGACUAUCCAUAUCAGAAAACCAUUGAAAGUGUAUGAGCACUAGCCGGGGGGAAACAAUCCCCUACAUAACCUGUCUGUGUGGCUGCUUUAAUCCUUUAUUUAUCUUGAAUGCACUAUAAAAAUCAUAGAACCAAUAUUGCAGCAUAAGAAAGGAGUAAGCUAAUGUCCACUCCCCUGGGUUUUAAAGUAAGCGAAGUUGUAGAAAGAAGGAGCUAGCAAGUUAGUCCUAACCCAAACCUUCUUUCUUCAAAUCUUCACAUUCUUGAACAGCAUCAAGGGCAUUCCCUGCCUGCACCAAACAAAAGCAUUUUCUGAAGAAUGGUAAAUAAAGAUACAAACAUCAGAUAAAUUCAUAUUACUAAUUCAACAUUAAGCAAGAUGCGAAUGAGAGAAAUAUACUGAAAAAGAUCCAAAAUCCUUACUUUACUGAGUGAUCUUGCAAUAUUAAAUGAUAUGUCUCUCAAAUGGGAUUUCAAUAUGGAGCCUGAAAAGGUGUUGAUUGCGCAGCGUGCUAGCCUAUAAGAAGCAACAGCAGACUGAUAAUCACACCGUGCCUCACAAACCAGUCCAUUCAAAUUAUGGGAUUCUGGAUAGUAAGGUGCAUGCUGCACAGCCUGUUGGAUGGCUCCAAAGACCUGUAACAGCAAUCACCUGCAAUAUUAAACUGAUACUUCCAAAAGCAUUUUGGUGUUAGCUCUUGUUGCACAAGAAAAUCAAGGAAUGAUAUUAUAUUUUUACUUUUUAGAAUAGUUGUUUCCUUACACAUACUUUGAAUGUGGUCAUACCUGUGAGGAUGAAAGGUGACCUGAAAGAAGAGCAAGCUUUGCAAGGCCAAUUUGAAACUCUGCAACCUGCCAAGGAAUCAGAGUUUUAGGUAAAAUGGUAUAAGGUGUUAGAGCAAGAUGUAUAGUCAACAAACUUAAAAUCCACCAGCAGAUACCUUGCCUUAAAAAUAUUAGAGCAUAAUGCCAAAAAAGAGCAAAGAUAAAAAGAUGGAGAAGAAGAAGAAAAAUUACAAUCAUCUUUUCGCAGAGAACAAAAAUAUUACUAAUGGAGAAGGAAGAAAAAUUAGAAUUUUUUGGUCAAAUCAAAUGAGUACCACCUGCUCUCCCCUCACCAGUGUCAGUCAAUAGAGAUGGAGAAGAAGUAAAAUUACAAUCAUCUUUUUGCAGAGAACAAAAAUAUUACUAAUGGAGAAGGAAGACAAAUUAGAAAUUUUUUGGUCAAAUCAAAUAAGUACCACCUGCUCUCCCCUCGCCAGUGUCUCCCUAAAGUCAAUACUCUUUUGAUUCAAAAAUACCUAGGAUUCUACUAGAGCAACACAAGUGAGGGGGAAGAACCCCAGGGAUACUUCUACCUUUAAAGGAUGUCAAACCACUCCCAUAAAAUUAUUUGAGUUCUACUACAAUAUCCACCUAUCCAGUUAGGACCAUACAGAAUGAAGAGUCUCAUCAAUAAUGUCAAAGUUUAAAUAUCCUUUUUAUAGAUUGUACUUGAAGAGCAUACAUACAAAGGGACAUGUUACUCACGGGCAAUAUCUGCACAGCACGUAAACAACUCUCAUAAGCCUCAUCUGUUGUGGGAUCCCUGAAGAAUGAAGAAUAUUUCAAUGCACAUCAGUGUCACAUGUGACAACUCCAAACAAAGUUAUAUAUUUUAUUUAGCACAUGACAAAGCAUCUACCUGGCAUGUGUAUCAGCUGACAUGCCUGCCCAUGGUAAUGCAAGUGAAGGAUCUAUACUUCUAGCAGAAUCAAAUGCCUGCCUUGCCAAUUGCUUCUCGCCCUCUUUUCUAUAAAGCUGUGGGGAAAGAAAGCAUUUAAACACCUAUCUGGAGGGUUCACACAAAUUAAUGUACUUAUGUUUCAGGUCACGCUACACUCAACACUGAAGCAUAAUAUGAAGCCAACCAAAUCAGCCUGACUUCUGGAAAAAUAAUUUAGCUUUCUUUGUUUCUUUUCAAAUAAGAGUUCUAUAUUAAAUACCCUAAAGGAAAUAAAUUGUUGAAAUUGAUAUAGAACAGCACCUUCCCAAGGCAUGCCCAUGCAACAGCUAAAGAUACAUCUAACUGCAGUCCCCUGAUAAAAGCAUGUUGCUUCAGUGCAUUAUGACCAGAUACAAAUCCCAAUGUCACCCAGAACUCAUUAUUGUCACCCUCAAGUAACAAGCCUCCCAAAGACAUUUUUUCAGGUAGCUGCCUGGUUAAUGAGAUGGUAAACUAAGAUAUCAAAUAAUAAAACAUAUGAGAUGACUAAAUAAGAACAUGACAAGCCAAGAUCUUACCAAGAAUUUGGGUUAUGUUUAUCAUCCUCCUUCAAAGAGCAAAUGAGAUCUGAACUUAUUGCAAUGUCAGUAUAGAUAUUAGCUUGCCAUGGGGCUAAGUGCAAAGCCCUCUGGUAAGAAUAAUUGGCAGAUAUCGCAGACAAACAGCAGGAUCGCUUCCAAUUAAGAAUGGAGUUACUGAAAGCUUCCUCAUCAAUCUCUAGGUUCCAGUUUUCCUCCAACCACGGUAAACAUUUUGCAUAUGCAAGCUAACAAGGACAGCACGUAGUAAACCAGUUAUGUCACAAAUAUCACAAUUUUGUCUUUUACAUUAAAAGGAACCAAAUCCUAUUUCAAGAACAAGCAUUCCACUGAGAUCAACAACAAAAUAUUACCAAAAGAAAAUAUCACUUAGGUUUUACAAAUGGUAAGAAGGUUGGAAGAUAACCCCCCAAAAAGUGAAUAUUGAGUUGAUCAUACCUGAAUAUCCCCAUGCAAUUUCCAAAUACAUGAAACAUUUCCAGCCAAACAGGUAGUUGAUUUUGCAACUUUAGAUGCUUCCUGCAAUGAUUUAGAAACUUAUUUUACAAAUGACUGUUUUUUGAUAUUGAGAGUGUUUCCAUGAUAUACAUUGUGCAUCCAAAUCCUAUAAGUUUAAGCUCUUAGGAAAAUUGCGUGUCAUGUGGGAGGUCACAUGAUUGAACUUCCCCAUAUGUUUAUUCCCUCAAUUUAUUAAGCCUAAAAGAGGCCACUUUAUUUCCCCAAUUCAUUAAGCCCAUAUGUAAGCCUAAAAGAGACUACAUGUGAAGGACAGUGUUAGUGUGCAUGAUAUACAUUUUUUUUAUAGGUAAAUUUUUGUCCCCCAUUGGGACUUGAACCUGGAACUUCCCACAAACCCUCUCCACCGCUUUACCACUUGAGCCAGGCCUCAAGGGCAGUAUGUAUGAUAUACAUUGUGGACUGAAAUACUAAAAGUUUAAUCUUUUAGGAAAAUUAGUUGUCUAACAGAGAGGAUUAAGAAUGUAGGCACAUCAUUUAAGUUACAGCAUGAGUAACCUCUAAAAGUGAAGUUCCCCAUCUAAAAGCACCCAAAUUGGUACAUUCCUUUGACAAACUAAGCAGCCCAGAAGCAAGACCAUAGUGUGCAGAUACACUUUUAGGUGAGAUCUCCAAAGCUUGCCGAAAUUGCUCGAUACCCUUCAUACAGAUAAACCAAUUUAUGUCAUUUUGUACAUUGUGAAUAUUGAAAUAAGGACUGAAACACUAUGAGAAAAAUACAAUACAAUUGCUACUAUACAAGGAUCAAAACAUUAACAGUGAAUAGAAUCAUUUUAAGGAAUUAUAAUUUUAAUACUGAAAUAUCCUAUGGAUCCUAGUUUGUUAAACUAUUACUUACGAUUUUAGGAAGACUUGAGUAAUCAAAUGUGAAAUUGAGUCAAGGAAUUUCAUGUUCAAAGGAGCAAGCAGAACCAAUUGUGAACUUCAUAACAAGUUUGAUGAUUGUAUACACAUUUUUCAAGUUAACAAUGCAAUAAGUUCAAAUACAAGCCAGAAUAAUUCAAAAUCAUUGGAUCAACAACGUUUCAAUGCACUCAAACUUGAGUUCAAAAGGAUCUCUUUCUCAAGAGCAGGGACAUUUUUUUUUGAUAGGCAAAAGCAGAAAUAUAUUAGAAAAGGGCACCUUGAGGAAAACCCAAAAGCAUACAGGGGGUAUACAAAAGGCACCUUAAGGCCCAAACAAAAGAAGAGAAGAUACAAAACCGUCCCUCAUCUAGCGCCUAGCCAAUCAAGAGCAGGGACAUUAAAUGCGGGAUGAUUAAUGUGUGAGGUCAAAUUAAAAUUUUUUUUUUUAACAGAAAUGAAGAAGAAUAUAUUAAUAGAAGAAAAGAUACAGGAGAAAGAAAAGUUACAAAAGAAAGAGAAGAAACCAAGGGAAGGAUGAGAGGUCCUUCCUACACAAACUGAACAAAGGAGAAAACUCCUAACAAUAGAACUCUAAAAACAAAGAGAAACCCCCAACAAUCUUCAAACUUUUGAAGCGCAAACCGCAAUCUAGUUGAGUUGUAAAACACUUAGAGGAACUCCUCUAAAAGCUUCAGUACAAGAAGCCCAUAGAGAAGAAUAGAACCGAAUCAAAUCCCAUAACAUCUCUUCCGUUCUCCCUUUAUCCUCAAAGAUCCUAUUGUUUCUCUCUUGCCACACCAUCCAAAUCAAGGUAAGGCAAGCGAUUUGCCAAAGUGUCUUGCCUCUUAAUGAGUUCCCCAUGCCUUUAAAAGUAAUAACCAACAUGUCCUCAAAACUCCUUGGAGGGACCCAAACCAACCUUGCUAGAUUGAACAACUUGUGCCAGAGUCCAAUGGUAACAAGACAAUGAAGAAAAAGGUGGUCAAUCGACUCUCCAUUUCCUUUGCAAAGAAUGCACUAUUGAGGAUAGAGGGAUUUGUAGGGUCUUCUCAAUUGCAACUUAUCGUUGGUGUUUACCUUCCCAUGUGCUACUAACCAAGCGAGGGCCUUAACCUUUGAAGGGGCUUUUAAACUCCACAAGAACUUGGCCAGAAGGAACAAGAUAGGAUUUGAGACUUUUGACAAGGCCAAGAAAAAAAAUUUCACUAAAAACAAUCCUGACGAAGACAAAGACCACGCUCUUAAAUCUACUAAAGAAGGAGAGAAAAGCACAUAACUAAGGGAAGACAUUAAUCUCUGAAGGAGAUCAAUUUCUGAAUCUGUAAGAUUGCGACGAAAGUUAAAAUUCCAAGACAGUGGAAAGGAAUUACCAAGGACAUUUGAGACAGUGAGGUUUUUCACAGAAAUAACUCUGUAAAGAUCAGCAAAUUGAGAACACAAAGUUUAGUUACCCCACCAAAGAUCUUCCCAAAAAAGAAUUCUCUCCCCAUUGCCCACCACUAGGCGGACAAAAGGGGAAAAAACCUGGAAAACUUGAGCAAUAGUCUUCCAAGGACAUCUGUGUGACCAUCUAACCACCAUGUUGGCAUCCCAUCCAUUAGGAUGUGUCCCAUAUAUACUCGCAAUUACCUUAUGCCAAAGACCACUCCUUUCUCUAGGGAACCUCCAAAGUCAUUUCCCUAAAAGAGCAAUUUUCUCAUAGAAAUCUUCCCAAAACCCAAACCUCCCAACUCCUUUGGUCUACUAACAAUCUCCCAUCUGAUAAGAUGAUCUUUCUUCUCUUCCCCCGCCCCAGACCAAAGAAAAUCCUUUUGCAUCUUCUCAAUCUUUGAAGCUAUUGAUGCUAGGAUUUUAAAGAGGGAGAGGAAGUAGAUAGGGAUGUGAGACAGACAAGACUGAAUUAAAGUAAUCCUCCCUUCCCCAAAGACAAAAAGGUCUUUUUCCAACCAUCCAAGCCUCCUCGAAAUUCUCUCAACCACCGGAUCCCAAAAGCUUAUUGUCUUUGGGUUCCUUCCCAAUGGAAGGCCUAAAUAAGACAAAGGUCACUCUAACACUCUGCAAUCCAAAACCGAGGCCAAGCUAGACAACAACUCAUGCCUAGUGUUAAUACCUGAAAUAGUGUUUUUUUCUAAGUUGAUUUUUAAACCAGAUACUUGCCCAAAAACCAAAAGGAUAAUCUUGAGAUUUUGAAGAUGUUCCAUAGAGGUUUUAGAGAAAAAAUGGUGUCAUCAGCAAACUGUAACAAAGACACUCUAGUCCUAUCCCUCCCCACAAAGAAACCCUCAAUUAUCCCAGUUUCCUCUGCUCUGAUCAUCAACCUACUUAGAACAUCUGCCACUAGAGUAAAAAGAAAAGGAGAAAGGGGGUCUCCUUGUCUCAAACCUCUAAAGGCCUUAACCCAACCCUUUGCACUCCCAUUAACUAGGAUUACAAAACUUGAUGAAGACAAACAGCCCCUUAUCCAAGAUCUCCAUUUCUGGCUGAACCCCUUCCUUUGUAGCACAUGAUCUAAAAAGCCCCAAUCCACAUGAUCAUAGGCCUUCUCAAAAUCGAUUUUGAAGACUACCCCUUCCUCCCCUGACCUUCUUUUCUCAUCCACCACUUCAUUAGCUAUCAACACAGCAUCCACCACUUCAAAUUUAAAUUUUACCUUCAAACAUUUAAAACACUGUGAUAUUUAACACCAAGGAUAUCAGAGAAGGGAUGGCACCCCUGUGACUAAAGUCCACACUGUGUUUCUCAUUAAAUAGUAGAAAUUUAAAUUAGAUUAUUGAAUUAAUCUAGAUCAGACCCAUUGAAGUUGAAGUAUUGAAUGAUGAGCAAUGCUUUAAAAUAGGGCCAUUCAACAAACCUGAAAAGGGGAAUAGAUUUAAGGUCGCUGACUCAGCCAUGAGUCAACUGGAAUUGAAUAUGAUGUCACAAUUAUUUAUUAAUUGAAGAAAAAUAAAAUGAUUGAAUAUAAUCACAUAAAACAUAAAAUCAAAAGAAUUUUCUAAAAAUUCUAACAUGUUUUUAGAAAGUAUAAAGAAUCCCUAAAGUAGUAUAACAUUGCAAUUAAAUAUACAUAAGAAAUCAUUAAUCAGGAAUCUAUCCAGCAAACAUGUAGGAGACAGAGAGAGGGAGAGAGGGAGAUAGAGAAACCUGGUGCUGAUAAUCACCAGUUUUGGAAAGGGGUAAUUGAAGUUUAAAUGGCUGGAAAAGUACGAGCUACCCCUGCUGCCAAAGAAGGAUUUUGUACAUUAAAAAACUAGCCAGGUAUUGGAAACUGUGUCCAUUCAAGCAGGUCAACAAUUGAACCAAUGGUGUAACUGAUGCUCUUAAAAACAAUGGUUUUUUAGCAUAUGGCAAUCACAGGGUGUAAACUAUCCUGCAAAAUGACCAGUUGAUGGUCCAACUGUUCAGUCAAUUCAAGUUUUUAAAACAUUGAUGAUGAGAUUGUUUGCCAUCUCCUUCAUAUAAAUAGACAUGAAAAGAAGAUUAGGACACCCUAAGGCUUAUGGAAGUAACAAAAAAUAAUAAAAAAGAGGUCUAAUGAAUUUUUGCAUUACAUAAGUAUCAAAAUUUUAACAACAGAUUUUCAACAUGAAAUCUAAGGUGUCUAAUGAAAAAAAUGAGAAUAGUUUCUAGAUUGACUUAAGCUAGUUCCAAAAAAUACAGAAAUAGCAUCGUAGAUUUAUGUUUGAGUCAGUACCUUAACAUACCAAAAUAUUAUCUCUAACCAAUAUGAUUCUAGUUUUUUUCUCUAGGAUGGAUAGCAUUUUAUUUCAAGAAAACUUCUUUUUUUUUUUUUGAUAGGUAAACAAUAACCGUCACCAAAAAGCUCCCAAAGUGCACAAAGAGAGUAUACAAAGGGAGCCAACAACACCAACCAAAAAAAGAGGGACUAACAAAAAACAACACCCCUCAACAAGCCCCUAACCAAUCCACAAAAUCUACAAUAGAGGAGAUGCCUAAAACCAUACACAAAUUGGACUACGCCCAAAGGUUACAAAGAAAAACAAGUUUAAUCCCUUCGCUAGACAACUCUUUGUUAUCAAAUGCUUUACCAUUCCUUUCUUUCCAGACUGUCUAAAACAAACACAAAGGAGUGGCCCACCAAACCUUCCUUUUCCUACCCACAAAGGGCCUGUGCCAACUUAAGAGUAACACUCUUACUAAAGAGGGCAGCACCCAAGACACACCAAACGGAGAAAACAAAAUAUGUCAAACAACCCGAGUUUUGUCACAAUAGAUGAGAAUGUGAUCAAUUGAUUCUUCCUAUUCAUGACAAAGAAAACAUUUAUUUGCCACUGACCACCCUCUCCUCUUUAAAAGAUCCAAAGUUAAGACUUUAUCCCAAGUAGCCUCUCAUGCAAAGAAGUCAAUCUUAGGUGGCACCCAAGAAUUCCAAAUGAUUGCAACUGGGAAAUUGGAAAAACCUCCUGGUUCCAAAACUUAGUACAGGCCUUUAACAGAAAAUUUUCCACAAGAAACUUAUACUAAACAUAACUAAAUGAACACUUCUUUUUUUUUUUUUUUUUUUUGGAAGAUUUUUUUUAUUAUUUAUUUAUAUGUAAAGCAAUUGUAUUAAAAGCACAAAAAAAAGGUGCCUAAAAUAUACAUGAUGUAUACAAGGCCAAAAAAAUGAGGGAUAAACAAAAAAAAUACCCUCACUUCACUUACAGCCCAACCAAUCAAUGAAAUCAAAAAGAGACAAAGAAACAAACUCUAUAUGUACCCUAACCCACUCAAAAAACAUAUACAUAAAGAAGCAAAAAAUAGCAUGGCAUGUUAGUUCAAAGUCUUCAAAGGCUCUUCGGUUUCUCUCCUUCCAAAAGGUUCGAACCAACUAAUGAAGGUCUCCUUGAUUGAGAAUGACAUCACCUACUGUACAUCAAAAAUAACAAAAAUAAGGUGCCACAACAUUAUUGCAUUAGGAUAGUAAAGGAGAAUAUGGUCAACUGACUCUUUUUCAUCCUUACACAAAUAACAUCUGUUUGGAAGACUCCAACCCUUCCUUUUUUAGCAGAUCCAAAGUUAGAAUUUUUCCCAACCUACUUCCCAAGCAAAGAAGCUGACUCUCAUCGACACCCAAGGAUUCCACACCAUGCUUGUGGGUAAACCUUUCGAGUAACAACCUACUAAGGAGGAGUAAAAAAAUUUGAUUGAAAAAGUAUCUCCCUUUGACAACCGCCAAGCCAUAACAGCCUCUACUCCUCCUCCAAUCGCAUGCCCUUGUAGCCUUCUAGGCAACCCUUCCACCUCACCUAAUUCCCAAUUAUUUAUCUAUCUUGUGAAUAUUAGAUUCCAACAACCUGCUUCCCCAACUUGCUCCCACAUCUGAUCCACCCAGGCUUUUUUAUCAGUGGCGAUUGAAAACAACUCUUGAAAAGUCAUUAAAGGUUCCUCCCCACACCACCUAUCUUUCCAAAACCUCACCAUCUUGCCAUUUCCCACCCUAAAGCCAAUCCUAUCAUAGAAUCUCUUCCACCCACACCAAUUCGCCUUUCAAAGACCCACCCUGUGGCCUUCCGUCAAAGUUCUAGAACACCAAUCCCCCUUUUCCUCUCCAUAUUUCCUUAUAACCACCUAGUUCCAAAAGGAAUCAUUCUCAAAAGCAAAUCUCGAACACCACUUCCCAAUAAAAUCCUUAUUUAGAAGAAAGAAAGAAAUUAAGAAAAAAAAAAAAAAAACUUUCUAACUACUAGACCCCCUUCUUUUUCCCUCUUAAAGAAAGCCCCUUUGGAUCUUCUCCAAUCUAAGAUUCACCUUAUAAGGGAUCACGAAUAAAGACAUGAAAUAUAUAGGCAAACUAGAUAAAGUGUUCUUUAAUAAAGUCAAUCUCCCUCCUUUUGACAAGUACUGCAUCUUCCAUAAGGCAAGUCUUCUCUAAAAUCCUUCCUCCACUACAUCCCAAGCUUGAAUGGAUUUGAAGGAGGCUCCCAAAGGGAGGCCCAAAUAAGUAGAAAGGAGAGCAAAGGGAACAUUGGUCAGCCAGUAGUUAAUAACGUUAUAGCUUGAGAACAUCAUAAUAUGGCAUUAAACCCUGAUUUAAUUUAAUAACUUUCUCAGGCAUCUUGAAAAGAAGUUGAGAUAUUCAGUGCUCUUCAUGAGAUGAAGGAAAACUGAGCAUGGAUGAAUCUAAGAGACUGUCAACCAAUUUCCUUGCACAAGUGGGAGGCUCCAACAAUCUUCAGAUGCAUUAUUUUGCCUCAACUGGAAUUGAAUCAUCCAUACAUUUGGUGGAAGGGCCGUAAUUAUGUAAUUGCUUAAAAUUUUGAUUUGGGAUUUGAUUUUCAAGUUUUUGAUUGUUGAAAAUAACAGAAAGACUGUUAUAGCAUGAGAUUUAUAUAGAUGGAUUUUUUUUUGACAGGUAAGCAGCUGGAUGUUAUUCAAUUGCAAAUCAUGAUUUUGUCUCAUAAGGAAAAAAAUUCCUGCAUGCCUGCCAAGAAAAACAAAAUGCAAGCAGUAGUAAAAAGAAAAUGAGAAUAUUAAUAUUUCAACCCAUCUAAACAGCUAAUGUGCUACCAAUAUUAAUUUAUCAUCCAAAAAAAGUAUCACACGUAAGAAAGAUCACAACAGAACUAGGACAGACAAGUAUGCCAAAUGAAUCUUACCUUUCUAAAGGAACCAAGCAUCAAAAAGAUGUUUCCACUCUCAACCAAUGCGAAGAUUCUGGAAUCCUCCAAUUCAAUGACUCUCCCAUAUGACUGUUGGAUUCCCAUGAUAAAACAGCCAUUUAAUUAAAAGAAUAUGUGAAAAUAACUGGAAAAUCAUUAAUUUCAUUUGUUACUAGUUUACAGCUUAAAGCACUGUUACAGUCAAUUCUUUUCUUCUCUUCUUUCAAUCAUAACUGUUACAAUUGAUUCUCAAAUAUUCUAAAUCCCAUGGGCAUACUUUAUAACCAUUUGUUAUGUGUUACCAUGCACAUGGCUUCAAGACACAAGAACAAAUGUCAAACAUCAUGGGAGUGAGAGGAUAAGAUGACAAGAAUAAAUUCUUUUUAUUGGAAAAUGUUACUUCUUGUGAGAAAAGGUACAAUAAAAUACAUUAAUUUAGAAAGUUUGAGAUCCGUGGACAAUGGUGACACUCCUACAAAUAAAGACAAACAUGUGCAACAUAACAUAGAAAAUCCCUCUUGAACCACUAUCAUAGUGAGUCACAAGCGUUCCUGCUUUUUGCAAUCAAUAGACCUCAUUUCAGCAAUUUUGAAGGUUGGAAAGCUUAGCCAGUUUGAGAGGAGAGUGAAUUGAAAGGAAAUUAGGGAACAUAUAGCACUUUUGACGAAGAAAGGACCUAUCCAACCACUUCUCAACCAGCCCAGCUGCUAGUCACUGUGGCGAGGCUUGGCUCUCCAUCCGUGUUAUUUCACUCACUGAGUUCUGACAUAUUCAAAUCAUAUUCAGGUACUUACGAUCCUGUAGGUUAGGGUUUUAGGAAAAGAGUGAAUCGCUUUUCUUUGAGACUAUUCCAUUGUUGUCACUUCUGGUUGUUCAUGCUAAACUUUUCUAACACUUUGAGUAGCCCAAUGGACAAGGCCUAUGUAUGAGUUCUUAUCUUGCUCUUGCCACCCCCUGCUCACCGAAGUCGUCAUUUCCUAUGACAAAGCGGCAAGAGGGAAAAGGAAGAUUUAGAUUCCACCGAAAGUUAGAUUAAUAAAAAAACACUCUUUAAGCUCUCAAUUAAGUUGACCUACAAGACGUGGCAUUCACCAGAGGGCAAACAAGAUCUCAUAAACCUUCCCCAGAUCAAAGGUCCUUGUGCUCACACAGUAACAGGGGACAUAACCAAGUCGGUAAACUUGGUCUUAAUACAGGCCCAAUCUCAGAGCUUAGCCUUUGGUUCCCUAUGCUCAGCAACAACAGCUCAACUUUGACUGAGGUGAUGCCCCUGGCCAAUCUCAUGUUCUACCACUCAUUCAAACCCCGGUGUUGAAUACAAUCACAUUGAGGAAGAACCAUCACCUCUAGAUGGAUCAAAAUGGCAACCAGAACACAUCAGUCAACCACCCUCAAUUUCUUGACUUUUUGAAUAAGAUUCAGACAACAAUCAGGCAGCCAAUUUAAAAUUUCUUCAGAGACCUCAACUAGAAUUUUUGGGCCAGCACCACACUGAUGUUCAUUGCAGUUGGAUUCAAUUUAAUGUACCAGACCAGAGCUCCACUUGCAGCUCAGAGAACCCUACCAUUUUUUAUCUCUACAGCCUUCAUAUGGUUACUUCCCCUAAGUUCCAACAACAACUGUAAAGGAGGACUCAGACAAUGAAAGGCACAACUCAUUUAUCCAAAUAGAAAUAUUUGGCCUAAUUGGUCUGGAUUAUUCUUUCUUUGAUUAUAAAAAUGGCAGAAUAGAUAAAAACACUCAAGAGUUUUGUUAUAUUUCCUUUAGCUCCAAUUUCUCAUAAACCAAAUAAAUAGGAAAUUAGAAAAAGCGACGGAUGAAACAGAAGAUAAAUAUUGGGGCGGCAGGAUUGGGAAAGAAAGAAAGAAAAGUACCUUUAUAGCUGCAGUAAACAUACCCAAUCGCUGGUAGGCAAGCCCCAGAGCCUAAAGUGGGGAAGGAGAACCAGAAAUAUAUAUAUAUACAUCAAUAUCGCUCAGGAUGGAAACAAGAACAAGAGCUUUUAUUUUAGAAGAAAGAAUGAAAAACAUGAUAAAUGCCCCAUAUAAAAAGAAUACACACUUCCCACAAAUCAGCACAGCUAGGAUACCCUCGAAUGGCAUGUUGAAGACUCUGUACUGCUUCAGACCAUUUAUUUUGAUGGAGCUACCAAGUAAGAACAUGGAGUAUUUGUUAGAUGAACACAUGGCUUCGGCUAAGUUCCACUAACCGACUAGUUGCAAAUGAAAUACAUGGAAAAAUGCGACAAAGAAAAGAAACCUGCAGGUAACCCAAUCUUCGAAAAGCCCAAAAAGCCCUAGGGGACUUCUCUGAUGCUUCCCUGCAGACCGCAAUCUCUAAAGUCUCCUUUCCUCCUAGGUCCAACAAAUCACACAACGCUUCCUGACACAAAAUUAAUACUUGCUUGAUCGAAAACCAACAUGUCGAGGGAUGAAACCAUUUUUUUUAAGGAAAAAAUUUGCACUAACCCCAGAAUCGGAAUCAUUGGGAUUAAGGGUGACCGAUCUCUGGUAACACUUGAAAGCUCUCUGAGUAUCAACGGAUACCCUUGCGUAAUAAUGCCCCAAAUAUCUGAAUGCGUCCCCAUUCUGCGGAUUUAAUUUGGCUGAUCUUACAAAAUGCUCCGCAGCUUUUUCCUUCCACUCUUGUUCCUCCUUUUCCCACAAGAAGACCCCCUGAAACGACAUUUUCAAAUUCAUAAGAAAAAAUUCCCACCAAUGGAGAACCAAAACCGCUUAUUCUUUUCAUCAUCAUGACAAGAAACAUUACGAGAUUAAAAUGAAGGGAGGCGUCAUCAGGAUUGGAAUCCACAGACUCUUGUAGCUUCCUUAAGACAUGGUCAUUUUUCCCUUCCUCUUCCUGUGCUUCCUGAAAAACGAAACUGUUUGAGAGAGAUUCUGCAUAUCCAAAACCCACCAAGCGCAGAAGAUGGCAAGAAACCCAACCAUGUCCUUCAACUGGGAUUCGAAAAGGGUACUAAAACCCUAAACCGCUGAUUCAGACCUCAGUGCUGCUGAGACUGUCACACCCCGGAUCCGCUCUUAUUUCUCGUAUUCAUAUAUGCAAAUAUUUCUUGCUUUGGGCCCAGGCAACCCAAAUCUCCACUUUGCUUCCUAAUUUCAAGAAACACUAUUUACAGAACGCUUUUGGCUGCUUCCAGAUCCGCGGAUCCCCGCUGCUCUUGCCACACUAAACACUCUUCCCCUCUCGUAUCUCCACGCGGCAGAAGGUGGUGUGGCGAUAGUCAUGAUCUCGCCUGCGCUAAAAUUCAUGAUUUAAUCGGUGACUAACGGCAUACUAAGAGUCCAUUCAUGUUUCUUAAUUAUUAAUUACUAAAUAAGGAGGAGGAAUUAUACGGUUGCUGUCUGGCUUCUAUUUCAUUGGCUGCCGUAUCAGAACUACGGUCGUAUCUGUAAUUGUGCUCAAAAAUAAUUUUUAUAUUUUUAAAACAAUUUUUUUUAACUUUAAAAUAUAUAUUUAACAAAUUUUUAUUAAAAAAAAUUCUAAGAUUUGUUGUAAAAUUAGGUUAUUUCUUCAAAUAAAAGUGAGUCAUGUGGUUUUGAAAGUAUAUGAGAAAUAAUUAAAAAUUCAAACAAUAUUUUAAAAUUUUCAUAUUUUUAAAAUAUUUGAUUUCUAAAAAAAAAAGCCCUGAAAAAUCUGAAAUAAUUGUUUUUAAACCAUUUUCAAAACAUGUGUUUUGACAAUUGUUUUUGAAAACAUUGUUACAUACACACUACUAUAUAUAUAUAAUCCUAUAUUUUGCUUUCAAUUUGACCGUUGUCUCAAAUGAACCAUGGUGGCAAGAGGAGGAAAAAAUUACCUCCUGUUCAAUCAAUAUAAAAGAUUUGGAUAUAAAAUAAUUCUCCCUUUUUCUAAUUAUAAUUAUAGUUUUUUUUUGUAUGGCAUUCAAUUAAUGUGUAUGAUAUAAAUAACCAAAUAUAUAUAUGAUUAAUUAAUAGGCAUCUGGUACUGGUUUUGCAUAGUCCCGAAAUGUUUUAGGAUUUAAUUUUUAUUUUGUCAAUUCAAAGAAUUUAUUAUGACUAAAAUUAGGAUGAUGGGAGGGUGGGGAAGAUGAUAAAAUAAGAGUAAAACAAUAAAUACAAUCCUUGUUAAGAAAACAAGGAAGUGACGUGUCAUAUUGAUAAAAGAUUUUGUUUUAGAAUUAAAGGGUGGGAUACAAAUCUCAAGGUUUUCUAGUUCUAAAAGUUGUCUACUUCCUUCAAAUUUAUUCUAAACAAUUAAUAUUUUAAAUUGCCUAGCAGCCUAGCACCAUUAUCUCACUAACGGAUAUGGACUGAAAAGAACCCUUCUUCUUUUUUUCCGUUUGGAUUUCAAAGCAUCUCCAACUUUAAUAAUAAUUUAUAAUGAGAAAUACAUAAAUGCUUGCCCUUUAUUUUGAUUUUUUUAAAAUAAGGCUGUGUCUAUCAUUCAUAAAUGCAACCAUAUGGCCAAUUAAUCAGGAGUAAGUCAUCAGACAUCAAUUCUGGCAUUGGCUAAUUCUCCAUGGAUCACAUAACGAAAGGUUGAGCUCUGUGGUAGCCAAUGGAUGCACUUGUGAGGCCUUCCCUUCAUGCAUCUUUCCAUUUCCUUGUGUUGAGCUUCUGACACACACCCGGUCACCACCUCCAAAAGCUUGUGCAUACUCAGUGACGUAUCUUUUGCAAAGUAGGAUAGAAUCUUUGGCAGGAAAAUCUUUGUUCCCUUGUCAACAUAGGCACUGGCUUCAAUAAACUCCUGUUUAGCAAGCUUGAGAUUCUGGAAUACAUUUUGUGCUGUAUAGAGACGAACCUGCAUUCAAUAAUUUGGGCCCCAAACCAGAUCAUGCAAAGAGCAAAACCAAGGGUAACUUCAAAAUAAGGUUCGUGGGAAGGUGAAUUCAUGAGAGACGUCGGAUUCAUACCACAGGGUCGGAGUAUGUCCCUGAACAAAGGGCAAAAUGAACAAGCGGUUCUGGGUAUUCAAUGGCGUAUAUAUGUUUGCUGUUCCCCAUCCUGGACUUAUUUCCUGGAGAAAGCAGUGUUUGUAGCCACUGCAUUCAUGUUGUGUCAAGAAAAGGAAAUUUGAAGACAAGUAUGAUAGCGAUGAUACGAUAUAUGUCUUAAGUUGAACCCGCAUCAAGAUUCAUGGGAUUUUUGCAUUUUCAAGCUUCUAGCCUUCUACUACUAUAAUGUCCAUCCUAAACUUGAUCCCCCGCGCGACCAUGUGUUAAUUAUCCUCAAAUUAUGAUUAGUCAGCACUCUAAAAUCUGUGUUUUUCUGCCCCUCUGCUGGAACAUUAAACUACUGAUUGAAUCCUACUUUACAAGGUUUAAUUUACCAGAUCCAUAUGUUCUGAUAAUAUUACCCAGCACAUGGUCCCGGGUGCUUCCAGAUGGCAGGUCAGAGCAAUCUGGUCAUCACCUAGCCUAAACAGGAUUCGUUCUAUAGUUUUUUUGCUAGCCACUAGACCCUCCUUCAUGUAGUGUCACAAGCCCAACCGCAACUAGCCUGCUGGUUCCAGCUCAUAACCAUGGUGCCCAGGAAGGCUCUACAAUUCAAUCUGGGCUUGCAAUCUACCUGCAAUCCUGGCUUGCCCUAACCCACACAAGCCUUUAAAUGUGCCAAAUUACACCAUUUGGAGGGAUCCUCAGUCGAGCCACAUCUUGGGUUUUGGCCCUCCUGAAACUUCCUCCUCUAUGGCAUAUAAGACGAUCUUAGUUUUACAAUGUAAGUGAUAUAAGCAUCAAUGUACUCAUUGAGCACAAUCUUGUAAGCAUACAUUCAUAUAUGCACACAAGUAAAUACAUGUGGGAUUUCAGGGAAGAACGCAUACCGGUGCUGGCCUGUGUGACCGAAUCCCUAAAAUGGAGCUUUGUAUGUCAUAAGCAUUUACACAAUGUCCCCCGACAUUGUAAGCUGCCUAAAGAGAUGAAAGUCUGAUCAAUAUAGUCACUUUUUCUGAAGAGAAACCCAAUAUGGAUAACAUUAACAAGAUAUUAGCACUAACACACAAGUUUUUACCUUUAAAAUAGAUGUGCCUUUUACACAAUUACGGAUUCCAUAAGCUAAAUACGCCUGCAAAGGAAAGCUCAUAAUCUCGUGAGUGUUUAUGACAAGAAAGGUUUGUUCUAAUCCUGUCUAUGAAAUACUUCAUACAGUUUUUCACUGAAAGCUAAAGAGAAAAAUUAAAGCUUUGAAAAGCCUACAUGCAUCACCAAGGCAUUAUGGAUGUUGAUCCAAAAUGCUAGUUUUCCUUCACGCUUCAUCUUCCUUGGGUUAACCUUCGCAAGAUUUUGAACCAAUGACCUACACAAUUUAAAUUACUAAAUAUGAGGAGUUUUUUAAAGAUUCCAUAACUCUUGACAUUAAAAAUUGUUGGAAGUUUGAGCCUGUUCUCUUUUUGACCCUUGUCCUGAAUCUUAUCCGUUUUAAUAGGAACCCGUUACGACAACUGACUCUGAAAUUCCAACAACUUUGGAUUGGUAAACCUAACACUGGUGGGAAGGGAUUAAAACAGGGAAACUGAUUUCGUUAAAUCUGUUUAAAUGUGCUAGAAAAUGCCAUCCAACUAUGUGAGAGUAAGGUGCAGGUUGGGUACCUGAAAUUUUGCAGCAUGCUAGCAGCAUAGUUGAAACUAUCAUCAUCUAGGCAUAACUUCAUUACUUCUACCAUUGCAGCAUAUGGUGCAUUUUCCUCCUUCAAACCUUGAAAUCGAUGGUGCCCUGUAGCUCCCUCAUUGCAAUGUGGACUCCAAGUAUCAAAGAGAUUCUGGACAGAGAAUGUACUUGUGGAGGACAAGGACGAGGUAGAAGAAACUGAAAAGCCCGCACUACUUGAAUGGGGGUUGGCAAGUUUGCAGUAGAUAGAAGAUAUGCAUUGGACAAUGUCUUCAGAAAGUUUAUCUGGUGUAUGGAGUGUGUGAUCAAUGUGGGAAGCACCAAAAUACUCUCCGAGGCUGUGAUGACCAAGAUCACCAUUCUUUCCAUCCUGCAAAUGCUCGUCAUAGACAUUUUUUUAUGUAGUUUUAUAAAGUUAUGCUGGACUAAAAACAAGCCAGCUGCACAAAAUGCAUCUAGCUGAUGAGGCAUAUUUUACCCUUCUAGAUUUUACUUUUGAAGUUGCUGCAUAAUUCCAAUCAUCUGAAUCAGCCCAACCAUGUGUGGAAGAAGUUCCACUAUGGACCACACCACCUCUCCACAUUUCAGGCUCUAUUUUGUAAGAUGGUUGACUUUGUAAAACUUGCAACGGUGAUCCCGCCUUAUGUUGUAAAUGCUCAGAAUUUCCUGGAAAUGUGGGUAGAUGCUGCUCAAAAGCUGAACGAUAGAGUGAAAGAAGAUAUCGCUCCAAAUGCAUAAUUUCAACCUCAAGUGUGGCAAUCUCAUCAAUCAGCUGGGCAGGAGACUGCAUCCACAGCCCACCCAAGGGUUAGAAGUUACAGAUCCAAAAAUAAAGCUACAACACAAUAUUACAAAAAGAACAACAGACAGAGCCUUUCAUAUGUAAAUAGUAUUAUAAGUACAAGGCUUGCUCAUUCAUCAGUGAGUUCAUCACAAAUCAGUCCAUUGUCUCUUGGUGUCAUCAAUCUCGACCACACAACAAAAAUCACAAAGGGAAGCAACAUUGUAGUAUGAUAAUUUAAGUUAAAUUAAUAGUAAAUAUUUCAUUUUGAAAAUUAAGAACACCUCAACUGUUACAGAUUAACAUUGAAUUGUACAAGAUAAAGUUGGAUUCACCUUUUUUUUUUAUCAACUCCUAUGAAUCUUAAGCACCAGACUGGUACUUUCAAAUACUUGGAUGAGUUUUUGUGGGCAUUCAGAUCAAAAUUUUGCGUAACCCCUUAACUAAAGAGUAGUCCUGGUGAAGCAGAUUCACAUCCAGCUGUAGCUGAAGAGGACGAUGCCUAAACGCUCUGAAGAGACCUUUUCAACAGUGAGUCAUUGAUACAAGUACCCAUUUCAUAGAUAGUGGCAGGAGUGUCACACCAACCUACAAUUCUAAACUAUUGAUAAGAUCUCUUGCUGGAUCUAGUUUUCAUCCAAAAAGUCAGGUGCUUAGGUAGAAUUUGAAGAACAUCCUAAGUUUCAGUGCAUUUGAUGGGAGCGGAAAUCCACUGGAAUGUCCUGCUAUUUUGAGGGCAUGUACUUCGGAGACCGGAUCAAACCAACAAUUGCAGGCUUCCUACUCUCACUGAAAAUUAAUUAUGUAAUUUUCCAGAUUACAGACAACAGUUCAAUGAUAAAACCAAAGCGACCGUAUGGAUCCAAGCAGUAAAAAGUAAGAUAGACUCAUUCAAUGCUUUGAGUCAUGAUAUCGAUCUAAAUUUAGUAUUUCAUCAAGAUAGGUCAGACAAUUGCAGCAAAAUAUGCACAUGCCUACAUAAAAAGUUUGACUAAGCUUUUAUUAUCCUUAUUUUGUAAAUGAUUGGAAAUUGUUGGUUUUCUCCAAUAUACAAACCUUUGGUGUUGGAGCUCCAUUUGAAGGAAUGGAUGCAUUGGAGAGAGAAGAAGGAGCCUUCUUAGAAUCCCAACAUAGUGAAGACUGGAGAGAUAGUGUUCUCUCCAAUUGUCCAAUCUGUGUCAAGAGAAGCAGAGGAUAACUAAGUAAGAGAAUGUAGCAACCUUUUAUCUCUUAGUAGAAAUAAUUGUAAAUGUCUUCGAGAUGAAAGGAGAACGUGUUCUAAAAAUGAUUUCCAGUUUCAUCAAUGUCUCCACAAGCAAAUGGACAAGCCUAGAGGCACAAACUCAGACUGGAGCUAGAAGCAAGAAAAAAGUUAUAUUUUUCACUAUUCAAUUCUUCCAUGUAGUUAAACAAAAUAUUUUUUUCCAUUAUUACUUUGGAACAACAGCUCAUCUGAAUCAAUUUCCCUACAAAUUUUCUGCGGACUCAGGCAACAAAUGUGAGUUUGAAGAGUCAUUUCAUAUCACCAGAUCAUAAGUAUUGAGUCGUUAAUCUUGAAAGAAACCCUGUUCAAUUCAACAGAAAUUCUGAAUAGUUGGUCAUUUGAACAAAUUUGUAAAAGAAGCUCGGCCAUGGUCUGCAACUUUGACCAAUAACAUUACGUUUUUCAGCUAAAACUUGGUCAAGAUUGUAAAGAAUGUUGAAAAUUUAGCUGUCCAAGGUUGCGCAGCAUAGAUUUGACUACUUGGACAUAGUAUUUGGAUCAAAAAAGGAAGUUGCUGGUGAAUUUGCAAAUUGAAACCAUGCAGAAAUGAAGUAGUUGUGACAAAGGGCAAUCUCACUAUCUCACCCUUAAACAUGGUGUGAACCCUUAAUGUUGCUAUGUAGGCACGUAACUCUAAGAAUAUUUCAAAAAGUUUCCAAGAUAUGAGAACAAGAAGACAAGGACAAGCAGCCUAAUUUCUGGAAAAGGGGCCUCCUGGAAUAUAUUUGGAGGGUCAUGGAAAUUGAUAACAUCUAAUAAUUUCCUUAAGACAAGAUCCACAACACAUGGAAACCAGCUAUUUCCUAGAAAGAGGCUUCUCAGAACAUAUCUAGAAACACAAAAACAAAGGAAAAAAACGAAAACAGAACCAAAAGGCCACUUGCAUUCAUUUUUUAAGGGUUGUAGAAUCAGAUGUGAGCAAAACACGAAUGUUGUAUUGGAUCUAGGUUUACCUAAUAUCAAACUCGAAAACAUAUCCAAUGCUGGAAUAAAGAGGCUGAAACUUGAUUUCCCAAACUAGGGUAAAAAAAAUAGAAUAGGGAAACAAUAACUGAAUGGGCAAACUCAUUUUCAAUUGGAAAUAACCAAGUUGGAAUACUUACGGAAGUGAAGUGGUAAGGGGUUGUCGGUGACAUGUUUAGCAUAUGCUGAUGAUGGCACUGCAAAACCCAGUAAGGAAUAGAGGAAGGAGAUGAUGAUGGCAAACCACACCCAGCAUUAUUUGUCCGUAUUCUGAAACCUGCUACAAAUUUGACAUAUAUCACCCUUCAGAGUUCACUUCCUAUUACAACAGAAAAGAACAAGUAAUCAAAGAGAGACUGAGAACACAGCCUCACAGCUCUGGUUUGAAUGCGAAAAGCUUCCACCUGAAUUAUAAACAAGCUGCAACUUUAUCUGUAUCUCUCCGAGUCAUUGUUGAAACAGGGAUUCUACUUGUUAACAUGACAACAUUGCUAUGUACAUGAAUGGAUUAGUACAACAAAACCACCCUAACAAAAGAUGGAGCGGAUAUGAGGAAGGGCUGAAACCCCCAUUAAAAUUGAUAAUCAUGACGCAUGCACUGUUACAGCCUGCAAUUUCAUUAUUAAAACAGAGCAAAUAUAAAUAUAUGCAUAUGGUUAGGUGGAGGGAAAGUAACUGAAACACUAGUGCUAAUCACUUAGACACUUGCCCUGGGAAGCAGGUAUCCCACUUCCGCCUACCCCAUUUUUCUAAACAUUUUCAACGCCCUCACAGACCUCCCACAGCAACAGCAACAGGCGUUUAAAUCUAAUACAGCAAUGGUGAAAGAACAAAGACCUUUUAUUAAUAAUGUGAUCUCUCUGUAUAAUCAUACCAACGUGAGUCUAUCAUUCGUGUAAUCUAGUGUUAAUACUAGAGGAUUAACUUAUUCACUCGCUAGGUUGGAAGUUUGAACCACUUCCAUUAUUUUCAAUUUUUUUUUUUUUGGAUGGAUAGAAUGAAUGAAGUUGUUGGGAGUCCCAUUCAUGAUUGUCCACAGCUUCACAAGUUAGAAGCCUAUUAAUUAUAGGCGGCCCACCAAGCCAAAACGCAGACAUUCUGCUAGCUAUAACAAAAGUAGGGGUUCCAUCGACCUUGAACCCACCCGUGGCUGUGGCGUCAUUCGUUCUGUUGUGGGAGAGAAAUGUCUUCCACUUUUCUGCUUCCUUUCAAUGUUCUUUGUACUUGAAAUUCAAGUUGGGCUUCAGGCCAGGCAUGUUAAUUCUCAGGCUCAAACCCGACCCAGCAACUAAGGGCUUAGGUUUGGAAACAGUUGAAUAUUUGAUAUAAAAAAAAAAAAAGUCAGGAAAGCGUUAGUAUGGUGGUUGAACAUGGAUUUAAUUGCCAUAUCUAGAGAAGACACGAGGCCUAUUUCACGGAGAGGUGGCGUGGAUCGUCCCUGUUUUUGGGGAUGGGAGUUUAGAAGACAAACCAGCUGAAAUUGAUGAGAAAAAAAGUGGAAUUAGUGUUGGUUUUUAUUAUUACUAUUUAAAUUUCGGGAAACAUCUGAGCAGUUGCCUGUGGCAGACGCCAGCUGCCAACAUCUAUGGAUGGGGGAGUGGGGCAUGCAAUAGGAAAGCAGCCCCAUCAUUUUGUAAGAAGCUGGAGGAGGAAGAGAGACCGAUGAGUGGUCUUCCAUCAAACUCUACUCCAAAAUCAGAGGACCACUUAUCACAGCCCACAUGGGGGGUUGAUGCCCCUCAAAUAAAUUGCCCGUAUACUAAAGUAAAUUGCAUUGUGUGAUGAAUGAAAAUGAAAUGAUCAUAGCAAGGUUAGUUGAUUGUUGGGUGAAGAAGGGAAAGGCAAAGGCAAAGGAGGAGGCAGAGGAGACGUCAGACGUGAAAGGGGGGAAUGGGGUUGAUGGCAGUGGAGCCCCUGUGUUGGUAAAUAGGCUACUCGUGUGCAUGUCCAUAUCUAUCCAUCUUAUCUACCUUUAUUCAAAAGGAGAGCAGUUUUUAAGCUACACAAAAGUAAUAGCUCUCUUCUGCAGGGGACACAACGGAAAGCAACCACGCCUCGCUGGAACUCACCAUCUCCCCCUUCCCUCUUCCCAUUAUCUCCUAAAUCCUAAUUACAAAAUACCCAGUCAACAGUCAAUCACAUGACAAUGGCCUCUUAUGUUAAGUUGUUCUAUUUACCAUAGUCUACUACCGCUGCCACUGAGUUAGUGAUACAUAUUCCUCUUAUCAUAAAUUUCUGGUUGGAUGUCAUAGAAUCUUGCCCACCCAAUAGCACAUUCCCCCGCCCUUUACUUUAUUGAUUCAUGAAGAAUGUGAGUUGAAUUCCAUGUCAGCAGUGAAGUCAAUUUAGUAGAUGAGAAAGAGAAAAAGAAAAUUAGAGAAUGUGGUGGACAUCUAAUAAAUGUGUAUAUAUAUGGAUGUGGGGUUGGCAACAUCACUGUGCCACUAAACAUCAAAAGAGCAGUCAGCCCUUGGCCUGAUACAUCGUUGUUGAUGGAUAAGCUUAAGCUAGGCUAAGCUUCCAAUAACCAUGCCAUUUUGGAAAAUCAGCUGAUCGUGCCGGUAAACAAAUUAAGGUAUGCCAAUGGUGCAUAGAUAGGAAGGCUAGCUCCCAAUUUACACCCCUGGGUUCUACUUACUGUGAUAUGCAGGGAUCAUAUGUAUGAUCUCCCCCAAGUACAAUGUAGCAUGACAACUGAAACAAGUGCAGUGGAAACAAAAGAAAAAUCUAUUUGUCUCCUAGCCAGUCGUGUAUCCACCACUUUUGCAAAGGAGUGGCCCGGCGUUCACAACCAGUACUAAUCUAUGUAAUAGCGCAUCCGUGUAUCAUUUGUGCUGGGGAAGCUGACCUCCCAAACUUAUCCUUGAAAAUACACAUAAUUAAGAACAAUCAGUGCAUAAAAACUGAAGGAAAAUAAAGAUGUAGUAGGCUUCUUAUUGUUACGAUAAACCUUUUGAUACAAAUUGGUUCCAAAUUUCUAGUUGUAGAGUUAGAACUUUGUUAGAUUAGCAAAAUUCUAAAUAUUAAGACAUGUUUGGUCCCCUUUGUGCGGUGAUUGUGUAACCACAAGCUGCUUAUAUGUCUUGCUAGUUAGCAUAGUGUCAUAUAUUGGCGGAAGACACAAUGAUUCCAUUAACCCCAGCAGGGGACAGGUCUGAGUCUUUACUCUUUGUUCCAUCCUUCAUGUCUGUUUAACUGUGAGAGAUGGAAAUGCAAGUUUUGAUUUCAAUCUCCCACUUGAGAAUGGCGAUUCAAUGAAUAAUUGCAGUGGCCAAGGGACAAAUAAUAGAAAGAUUUGGGAGAUGAAAUAUAGAAAACCAUAUAUAUAAUAAUUGCAUUUGUUUUGAGAAGUAGAUCUGACGGAAACUAGAGGAGAUAUAAAUAUAUGUAUAUGAUACAAACAGGCAUUCUAAAGAAGGGAUGGAUGGGGUCCCAGUCCCACAUAUUCCGGCAUAAUCGUCACCACCUAAUGUGUGUAUCAUGAUCUUAGAAGAAAUAUACUGAGCUCCUGUCCGGAGCUGCCCACCGGGUUAAUCAUGUGAAACGACUCAGAGUCUGGGGACCCAAUGACUCGCUCAAAACUGGCUCGUAGAUACAGGAGGUCGCCGUCGUCGGACUUGGGUGCAACCGGCAAAACUCCGGCACCAACAGACACAGACUGCAUAAGCUUCAACACAUUGACGUCGCUGACAGUCAUCUGACGCCUGACGGCGAACCCAACCUUCCUGCCGUUGCAAUACAUGGACCAAACCGGGACGUUAAAGAGGGAGCAGCAGUUGGAGGCUUGCUUCUGCCUGUCACACUCGAGUGCAAUCCGAAGCAGACCGUAUUGCAUCUCCCUGGCAAGGUAUGCGGUGGGAACGGCGAAUUCCAGCAGCAGUAGCGGUGUGCUGCGUGUGUCAUCUUGUAGGCAGAAGCUGACUCGCCCCUUCCGGUAACCAAAGAAGGUGCCAGUCACAGUGGAGGCGUGGGUGGACUCAGUAUCACUGGAGAUGGAGUCAGAUGGUUGGAAGCCACAACAUGGGACCAUGCACUCCACAAGGGACCUGAAGGAUCUUCUGAACCUCACUUCCCUCCCACACUCUACUGAGGUGGGUGUGUCCAUAAUAUGGAGGGGACCUCUUUGGUUUCCCAAGUCUAUCAUCCUCAUCUUGCCUCCUGGUCUGAAUAAAAUAAAACAAGCCCUAGCUAGUUAUCCAACAAAACCAAGACAGACAAUAGAGAGAGAGAGGUUGUAUGUAGGAGAAGGAUGUAGGUAGGUGUUUAGAAAUAGCUAGUUGAGCACAUAUAUAUAGAGAGAGAGGUGGGAGGAGGAGGAAAGGCAGUGUGGAAGGGAGUGCAAAGGGGGAGUGAGUCAUCGUAAUGAAAGUGGGGCGAGGAAUCGUGCGCAAUAAUUCUGCCCACGAGGCUGUGGGGGUCCAAUUUUGGAGGGACUUGGGUGGCGCGCGUGACAGCAAAGGUUUUGUGAUCAGACCUCUGGCCCGUGGGCUGUUGUGGGUGGGAGAUGACCAAAUGGGACUUUCUACGUUUUCACUCCCCCCCUUCCCUAUUCCUGCUGCCUUCUUAUUGGACACUUCCUCUUAUUUUUAUGCAUUUUGUAUAUCCAACCUCGCCCCCUUCACUCUCUUCAAAAACUUUACAAAGUUUUUUUCUUAUUUUCAACUCAAUUUUGAAUAUGAGGAUUUUUGACAAAAUACCAUUUUUUUUUAAUAUUUAUUAAAAUAUGACACUUUUGAAACCCUUUUUAAAUUUAUCUCAUUUUUUAUAAUGUUAAUUGAAAAUUGACUCUUUAAAAGACAAUUUUCAAUUAAAUUUCUUUAAAAUGACGUAAAUUUAGAAGUAAUUUUUAAAUUAGCAUAUAUUUUUUUUCAAAUUUUGUAAAGUAAUAACAAGGAUGUCUUAUUUGUCAAAUUUUCCAUUUUCACCUACCAAAAAACCGUGAUAUGUCUUAUAUAAAGUAACCAAGAGGAUGAUUAACUUAUGAUAUAUAUGUAUAUGAUGGUAUAAUUCAUACCAACAUUUCAUAAUUUUGGUAAAAGGGAGAAUGCCAAAAGUUUUUCAAACAUAUCUUUUAAGCUAAAAACUAUUUUCUAAAUUAGAAAAUUGUUUCCAAUUCUAGAAGUUCAAAUAAAACAUAACUUCCUUUUCCUUGAUUAGUAUAAUAAUUCAUAUAAUAAUUGAUGAUAAGAAGGAAAGGAGCAAAUUUGGACAAGCUUACACAAACUUUAUGAUUAUACCCAAAAAAGAGUAUCUUACAUAUACCCAGAAAAAGUACCUUUUUUGCAUCCAAUUUGACUCAAGGAUUUUAUGAUUUCCCUUCAUAAUUUUGGUUACUUUCAAUCCUUUAAUUUCACCCCAAUUUUACCCAUGGUUAUAAAUUGAAAUAUCUUCUCCUCUCAGACACAUAUGUUGCUUCUUUGACAAACAAAAUAACAAUUGCUUUUUGUUUUUGACAAGGAAUGAAUAUUGUGUUGAUGAUACAUUUUUAAGAAUAUUUCUUCAAAAUAAAUAUUUAUAGAAAGCUUCAAAUGAUUUUAAUACCAAUUUUAAAAAAUUAUGAACUCCAUAACAAUUUAAAACAAUCGUAUUAAUCAGUUUGUAUGUGGAGAGAAUUGAGUCACCUCACCUCAAGAUCCAUGCAAUGCUAUUGGGAAAGUAGUGAAGAGAGAAUCUCAAAAUAUCUCAAAGGGCAUCCUGUUGAUAUCCUUUGAGAGAAGAGGAUCUAUCAUCUAUCAUCUGUCUCAUUAUCCAAACUCCAAGUUUAAGCAAUAAAAUGCAAAAAAAAAAAAAAAAAAAACCCAUGAUGAAAUCCAAGGAUACUGAUAAGGACAUAGAAUAAAAAGGAAAAAAUAAACCCAAGGGAAAGAAAAAGUAGAGUGGAAAUUAAAUGGGUGGGAGAGGGAAUGAUAGAUAUCAAAUGCAUGGAGCAUGAGCAUGCACGAGGCAAUGAUUCCACCCUAUCAAUCCUGUCUGUCCGGCCCAAAGACUUAUGGCGCUCAAUCAUGUUAGAUUCUCCAAUUUCCAUAGUCAAAACUUUUGUCUUCCCACUUCAGAUAUCAACAAAAUACGCUACUCACCUUUAUUUGAUUUUACUCCUAUACAACACACAUUAAUCGAGCUGGUUAAGUAACACAUUAAAAGCGCCUUUACACUAAUUGCUUUUACUUUUUACCACGUAUGAAGAUUCCAAACAAGAAGAAAAAGAACUACGAAGAAUGUGUGCUAUAUUCUGAUGAGAUGAAUUAGCAUUCUUACAUAUUUAAAGUCGUGGGAUGAGGUACUACUCAUGUGUUUUUUAAAAAACAAAAAGUGGAUUUUUUUAUUAUUAUUAUUUAAAAAUAGUACUUAAAUAUAUAUAUAUAUAUAUUAAGGAAAAAAAACCUUUUUAAAACGCUUUUAUAGAAUGCUAAAAUCUUCUAUUUGUUCAAUUAUUAUUUAACAUAUUUUGAAAAUUUAAAAAUGAUUUAUCAAAAGAUGAGUCUACGAAUAGGUCCAAGUGUUGUUGAUAGACAUCAUCCCUGCCUCAUUUCUGUGGGAUUAAUUGCAUAUGGACGUAGGUUGAGUUGAUGGUCGAUCAAAGCAAAAAAAUUAAAAAACAGUUGAGAGUGUCCAAGGAGAGGCCGGCACGGGGAAAGGAAUAAAAGAGGAGAGAGAGGAAAACAUGCAACAAAUAUAACAAAGAGGGUAUCCAUCCUUCAAAUCAUGUCAAAAGCUGAUCCCAGUCCCCACUUCAGUGAUUAAUAGAACUAGGUUUUUGCACGCUUCAUUGCUUUUUCUCCCACCCUUUUUUAUUCUCAACCCCUUAUCGAUCAUUCAAUAAUUCAUGCCCCCCCCCCCUCUCUCUCUCUCUCUCUCUCUCCCCCAAUACCCACCUCCACCACCACCGCCACCUCCACAACCCUUCUCUCUUUGUUAUUUUCAAUUUUUAUUUCAUUUUCAGUUUGGACCAUGGACCAACAAACGUGCUUUCUCUUCCGGAAAGACCAUUCUCUCCUCGUGUGUCGACUGAUUCCAUGAAGAAAACAAAAUAUGAGGAUCUCCACAUCCACUUUUUCUUUACAUAAAGCAAGUCUGCCCUUUGGUUUUUAAUAAUGGGUCACAAUCAUGUCGUGGCCCAAUUGAAGCUUGUCUGUGCCCGCUAUGAGCGCAUGACAGGAACACCUUGAUGGGGGUAUUAGGUUAAGUCAUUAUGAUAGUUUGUAUUGGUAUGAUAGAUUUUUCAGAAACAAAACCCCAAACAAGGAAUCCAUCAGCUUUGAUACUCACGUUCUUCCCUCCAUCAUUAGGAUUAGGAUUUCUAUUUCUAUUUCUUAAAUCACCAAAUGCCUCUCUCUCUCUCUCUCUCUCUCUCUCUCUCAGGGUAUCUUGGUUUUUUUUUUUUAAUCCCCUCUUUCUCUUGUAUAUGAUUAAGAGCAAAUUUAGGUGCUUGUCUCCAUGAUUAGUGGGGGCUCCACUCACCCUUUUGGUUUUUUGAUGCCUAUGUGCUUUCUUUCUUAAUUAUAAUCACUUUAUCUAAAUGGGUGUUGUGGAUAUGCAUUGAUGCUUCAAUCCUUUGGGAGGUUGAAGGGUCCAAAUUUCUUGUCCCUCAUCACCACAGCAAUUGGCCAAUCGGCCAAUUCCCCAUGCAUGUAGCAUCAAAUUUGGCCAAUGAACGUCCGCAAUACAUCAAUGUGAAAUGGGUAGAGAUUGACAUAAUUUGUACUGAAGGGUUACAAAAAUGUUACAUCAAAUUAAUAUAUAAAAUAAUAAUAUCAUGAUACAAAUAAUGAUAUGAAAAGUAUUAAAAAUAAUACCAUAAAUGACCUCACAUGAAUGAUUGGAUAUCCCAUUACAAUCUACCAUACUCAAUUAAUGCUUAUGACAACAACAUUAUUAUUUCCUCUUUUUUUUUCUUGUUGUUUGAAGUGAUAAAGUUAGUUGCUUGAUUUGGAAGGCCACUCAAAUGAUAACGUCCUGGAAAACUAUCAAGAUUACUUUUCCCCUUUACUUGUAGCAAUUAGAAAAUAUAUAUAUAUAUUGAAAACAAAGACAAAUAAACUUAGAUGUUGACUCAGUAACGCAUAUUUGCAUCAUUAAGUGGUAGAAAAAAUAUAUAUGUACAAAAAUAAACAAUAAAUGGUAUGAAAAGUUAUUUUGAUUACCAUUUUCCCCAUCACAUAAGUUCUCUUCCACCCACAAUUAUCAAUAAGAGCAUUAUUACAACCCUUUCUGUUAACAAGUCUCAUUAUUUAAUGUUUUAUUCACUUUUUAUUUUUUUAAAUACUAAGAAUGCCGUAUAAUCAAAAAAUAAAAAAAUUAUUUUAAAAUUUUUUAUAAUAUUAUUUGACCUUUGUUUUUUAUCUUUAGUUUUUAAAAAAUAAAGUGAAGUAAAGAAUUUUCUUUCUUUUAUAAAAAAAAAGUAGAAAUUGUUUUGGCUUUUAAAAACAAAAAGAAAAUAUAAAUAAAUUUAAAAAAAAUUAUAAAUAAAUAAAUAAAUUUAAACAUGAUAUCGUUCUUUUUCUUUUUCCAUGUAUACUAAUACAAAAAAAAUCUUCAAAUAUGGCUUCUCUUUAAAUUGCAUGUAUUUUUUUGAAUUUAUGUUCACUUCUCUAAAAAAAUUUAUUAAACAAAACAAUUCUAGAACACAUAAUAUUUAAUAUAUAAAGUUUAUUAAUUUUUAACAAUAUUUUAAAAUUUAAAAAUCAAUUUAAUUAAUAUUAGAAAAUUAUGAAACUUAAUAACAUUACAAAGUCAUGAACUAAAAUUAUUGACUAGAAUUUAUUAUGAAUGACUGACUACUUCUUCAUUAAAUAUAUAAUUAAACUUCAAAUAAGAUAAGGAUUAAUAUGUUGGAUGUUGGAUGGUCUAAUUAAUAUAAAAAAAUCGAUUGACAAAAAUGGAUUUAGAACUACUCUAUUGUUUUUAUUUAUUUAUUUUUAUAGAGAAUUAUAUUUUUCUUAUUUUUUUUUAUUAGACAUAUAAAUUCCAAAUUAAACAAGAAUUAAUACAUAGAAUUUGUUAGCAAGUAUGAUAAUUUUUAAAAGUAAUUAAAACUCAAGUAGUAAACCCAUUAAUACCAUCAAUUUAUAGGUAAAUUUUGGUUUAUAAUAACAAUAUUAUUUAAUUUUUACAAAUAAUUAUAUUUUUAUUAGAUAAAUAAGUUUCAAAUCAAGGAAUUUAGUAAUGAGUUAAACCAUAUUUAGAGUAUUUUAAAUAGGAAUUGAGAAUUGGUUAUAAAAAAAGGAUGAGCAAAUGGCAAUUUGGAAAAAACGCACAAGUUGAAACAUUGGGUCAUUUUAUUUUAUUUUAUGAUAUCAAAAAGUGGUGGUUAAUUAAAAACCACGAUUGCAUUUGCUUAUAAUAAAGUUCUUUUGUGCCUUGUACCUCUCCUCUGUCACACUUUCUGUUCUUUGGACAAUUUAUUAGAACUGGAGUUUGAUAUGAUACGUAUUCAAUAUCACGGCAUUUUCUUGAAAAAUUAUUAGAAUUUCCUUAUAAUCACAUCCUUCAAAAUGAAAGCACAUCGUAAACUCGGCCCAGUUCUGGCCUGCUGUAUGGCCUAAUCACAAGUAGAGGGCGGUCCAAUGGGCUUCAAAACAUACUGGAUUCAAGUAUACAGCAGAUGGCAGCGGCCUCGUUCGACAGGCCGCAGCUAGUGGGCCAUCUUUGCGAUGUGCCGGAGGUCGGUCGACCAAGCAACCCAAUUUGACCUAACAUCUGACCGUAAUCUAGAAGAACUGAGUGGUGGACGGCAGACACGGUGGCACACAAGAUAGAGAAACGUGUCAAUGAUUUUAUAGGAUUUGCCUUCAAAAUCAAACACAUGAUCCAAAUCCGCGGUUCCUUAGAUUUUCAUUUUCUGCGCAUUCCCAUUAGGUUUGGAGGCCUGAAUUUUCCAUUGCCUUUUGCAUGUACAGACUGUAUUCAUAGUUUAUGUCCAAAAAUAAAUAAGAAAAAGAAUAAGAAUUUCGAUAUAAAUUAAUCAGCAAAAUAGGAAAGGAAAGAAUAAUGAGUAAAGUAAUUUACAAGAAAAAUCCAUUUCAUUUAGGAUAUGGUUGGAUGGAUGCAAGACUGAAAAAUCCCAUCUCAAAUCAGUAAUACUAAUAUCCAGCAAUAUACAUAAAGGAAGAAAUAAAACAAAAUAAUGAUAAAAAUUAAAAAUUGAUCCACCAUGUUUGGAGUUUGGAGGGGAGCGGAUUAUGGAGUGUAAUCUAGAGGACGGAGCCUUCGUAAAUGGUGGUUAACCUGAGUCUGAAGGAGCGAACCGCCAUGCGAGCUCGUCGGGAUGAGUGUCUCUGCAGUUUUCUCAAAGACCCAUGCCUGGAAACGCCAAGAGCAGGCUUCUCAAAACUCUUUUUCACUCCCCCAACCUCCGCCUCCAUUACUUUUUGGUUCACUUCCAGAACUGGAGAAAUCCGGGACUUGUUAUUGCGGCGAUGCCCAGCCUUUUUGGAGUGAUUUUGGAGGGCAAUGCUGGCCUUGACGGCCAAGGCGGCCAUCUCGGAGGCAGUGAGGCGGUACUGAAGCUUGGUGGCGGAGAGUAGGAAGUAGAUCUGACCAGGCAGAAGUUCAUCGUCGGCAUUCAUGGCUGGGAUGUAGUCGUCGUAGUACAAGCUGUCGGAGUUGCAGACAAAGCAGGAAGAAGAAGACGACUCAAAGUGAAGAACUUGGGAGACGGUAACGGGAGCGGAAUAUUCACGUAGCUCUCCAUGAAGUGAAAUGAGUUUAGCAGUAGCGGUGGAGGUAGAAUUAGAAUAAGAUCCAACAGAAGAUACACAUCCACCCAUGUCCGUGUGUCCGUUCGUGAAUGAAGAGAAAUCUGAAAUGAAAUUGGAGUUGGGAUUGAUAUUUGGGGGUGGUGGGGGAGUGAAUGGUUAAUUUAAGGGAGAGGAAAUUGGAAGUGAGGAAGAAAAAGCCUGGGGGGUGGUGGGAAAUGAGAAGAGUUUGGGGGCUUUGGAGUGACGUAAGAGAGGUCGUCACUGGGGAAUUCCGUUGAGACAAAUCAGUUUGAAACAGGGAGUCAGUAGUCGGGAGCAGAAGGCUGGAGCUGACUCCCAAGCCAACAAGACUUGGUUUGGUUUUAUUAUGGAAUUAAUGCGACGAUGACGCGUGUGCUGAUUUCAGAUUUCUACGGUGCUACCUCUCCCCCAAGGAAGCUUGCUUGCACCGCAAGCAAUCCCCUCCCCCGUGGGCCCUAGCCUGUAACCCAUGUACCGUGACCGUACCCUCUCGCCCCGGGGACCCACUUUGUAUGGUUUCUUUUUUCUUAAAAAUAAUUGGCUUUAUUUGCUGAGCCUGAGCCGCCCACCCCCAAGGCCCCACAUGGACAGGGUCUAAUAAAUAAAAUUUCAUUUGAAAACUCUUAAAAAAUAGUUUUUUUCUAGUUUAUUCUUUACACAGAUGGUAUACCGUAUACAUAAAAUAUUUUCAAUUAUUUAUUUUUUUAAAAUACUUCAAUUUACUCUAAAAAAUAAUUUAUUUUUAUAAUAGAUUUUAAAAAAUCCAUGUAAAAAAGAGAGUAUAAAAUACAUUUUUUUUUAUGUUAAAAUUUGAUUUUUGUUCUAAAUGAUAUAGAACCGUUUUCAAGAAUAAAAUAAUUAAUAUAAUAUAGUUUUUAUUCUAAAAGAGAUUAACAUUUUGAACAUUGUCACAUCCUUUAUUUUCUUUAAUUUUAUUGAAUUCAUGCACACAUUUAAAAAAUAUCCCUAUAUAUUUCCAAUUUAUUAAGCCUAUAUGCUAGAGAUAAAAAAAAUCAAAACUACAACAUUCUUCAAGUAACUUAAGAUGAAUCUAGAUGACAGUGGACACAAUUUUAGGCGCUUGUGACUCCCCGAUGACUUUGACCAAUGUCCUAGGAAUAGCAUCUUUUUCCAUUGGAUUGCACAGGACUAGGAAGCUUUGGUUUAAAAUAUGAAUAUAAGGAAUAGAAAAAUAUAAAAUGUAACUUGUCUCAUGUGUAAUAUUUUUUGUAUAGUAUAAUGAAAAGAUAUUCUCUUAUUGAUAGAUGUUAGUACGAUUGGUUGAAUCAUAUUAAAAUCUUGUAUAUUAUUAUAUCAAUUAUUUUUAUCUUUAUAUUUUUAAAUUAAUAUUAUUUAUAUUAAAACUUCUAUUAAUACAAUAAAUUAGAAAGUUAUGCAUUUUUUUACUUAUUUAACCUUUGUAAAUAAGAGUUUAAAAGCUUAUAGAAUAACAUAUAAAAUGGUUUACCCAUUUUAAAUAUGUUUUUUAUUUUGCUUUAUUCUUCUUUCAUUUUUUAUUCUUUAUUUUUUAACCUUUUUUAUUUUUUUUGUGAAAAUCAAAAUUUAAGCUAUAUUUGAAAGAUUUGAGAGAAAAUGAGAGAAAAAAAUAAAAAUAUAAUUUAAUUUAAUUCAGACUUACAUAUGAAUAUUUAAAAUUUUGAAAAUAUGUAAAUUUUAAACAUAUUUGAUUUUUUUUUACUAUUUUUAGUAUUAAAGUUAAUAAAAAAUAUUUUUUAAUAUAUAUUUUUUCUUUUUCAAUAUUUUCCUCCAACCAAGCAUUAGCAUUAACAUGUUAUGAUUGGAGGGGAAAAAAGUAAAAGAAAAAACUGUGACACCAUGUUCCUUAUUCCAAGAAAAGCAUAAAUCUAAUGAUCAAAGGGUUGACUGAGAAGGUGGUAGGACUACCCCAGAUAAAGCAUCAUUAGUACUCCAUCCAUGAUUCCAUGCAAGCAAGAGUCCACAAAACGAAAGCCCAAAUGUGGCGACCGUGUAUAAUGAUGGCCCAGGGCCCAUAUUGAGGGUCUUAAUGGUCCAAACAUCCACGUAAGAGAAUUGAGGCUGAAAAAGAGGAGAAAUCAAGAGUCGCCAAGCACUCAAUUCCUUAACGGGGUCCAACCACUGCAACAAUGAGAGGAGCUAUAUAUAUAUAUAUAUGCAUGUCUUUCGUGCAUAGAUGGGGAGAAGUGACAUUAUUAUCAAGUCAUAAUAUAGUAGUUGGGACUUGGGAGAAGUAGCAAGCGGGAUAUUGGUUAGGAACUUUUCACUUUUCUCAAAUCACAGCUUAAUAGUUAGAAGUUAGAAAAUAGAACCCAUGUCCCAACUCAUCUUCUUGGUUGUGCCCAUCAAAUGGGCUCAAAUCAUAUCUCAGUUGCCCAGCUUUUCAUCUUCAUACUUUGAUGGGAAAGCAUGAUUGAUAGAUAUUCCCUAGGAUUUUAUAAUGUGAAAGGUGCUCCCUCUCCAAUAUUGGUGGGUACAGUUAGUCGGAGAAUCUGAGUGGUAAGGGAUAUAGAACUGAAGUUUACACAAGGCGUUGGUCUUUUUUUUUUUAAUCAGUAGGGCAAAGGGUCCCUUACACGUUGGGCACACUGGUUCUUCAAGCCAAUCAUUGGAAAGGCAGAUCUCAAGAUGAUGAAUUGAUGAUAGGCUAACAAAUAAUUUUAUAUUGUAUCAUCAUUUUGACUAUAAGGCCUUCCUCACACACUAGUGUUGGAAAUAAAUAUUAUCCUACAUUAAGAUUCAGAAUCCAUCUUUUUUAUUCCUCUGCAAAGUCCACAAUGACCUCUCAUAUUCCAUGGUUUGUAUUAGAAUGAUAAGAAAAGGGGAGGGGAAACUCUAGAAGAUGGAAGAGUACAAAGUAACGGGUCCAAUUGAGGUGGUACACAGACAAGUGUCUUAAAAGGGCCGAAUUAAUGGGAUGAAUUCAAGUUUGAAAUUAAAAUAGCUUCCCAACAACCUCUCAUUCAUGCCAGCUUCCUGCAGCAAUCUCAGAAGGUUCAAUCGCAUUUAAAUUUAACUUUAAAUUAUAAAUAGAAUUAAAAAAAAUGAUGAGAUGCAAGACUAGUCUUAAUUUCUAGGCAUGCUAGUAUACAUAUUGGCCAUGGUUUGGUUAUAGUAGAAACACAAGGUGAAAAUAAAACAAAAUAAAUGUGUUGUUUCAUCAUGUUCAUGUUAGGGCUUAAAGGGAGGAGGACAAUGCCAUAUUGAUAUUUGCACACCCCACGCCAUGAAUGGAGAUUCGUGUAUGUUUCGCCUGAGCAUCAACACCAUGGCACGUGAUGCAUCCACCCCCCGUCUCAUCAUGCUUCUUACUCUACUCCACAUUAUUAUUAUUGAUGAUAAUCAGGAAGGGAAGAAAAAGCAAAAGGGGGGCUUUGAUGUAAAUUAAUACAAAGUUAUUGAGUGACGACAUGUGUGGUGUGAUGGAAACCCAAAGCCACGCCACAAGCGCCCUUCCUUAUCAGCUACUCUCCACCAUUAGUUUAUUCAGAUGAAUUAUUAAGCAUAAAAUAACACACUUUGAAAGCAAAAUAGAAAGCAGGAAUAAAGGCCCACCCCCAUUAUCCACAGUCCCACUCUCUCACGCUACAUGUCUCUCUCCUCUCCAUCACUCUUCUCUCUUAUCUCUCUCAUCUCUAUCCAGGAGAGGUGAGAGGAGAUGGGAGCAUGAUGUUCCAACACCAAGAUAGAUUUAUUGGGGCUGAAUGCUGAGCAGUCCCUCGUAUGUAUUCCUCAUCGAUCCUCACUUCUUUUCAACAAACAGAAGCCAUGACAUCACCCCACAACAAAAGAAAGAAACAGACAAAGCAGCCCUCUCCAAGGUGCUGAUUUUUAUUGUGAGAAAGGUCAGACGAUGAUGAUGAUGUUAAAAGGGGUUAGAGCCGCAACAGCAACAACCACCCUAGUCUUUGCUCCAAUAAUUCACUUAUAAUAAUAAUAAUUUAUAUAUAAGUUUUAUGAAAGAGCAGCAAAAAGAAGGGAGGGAGACGAACGCAGCCUUUCAGAUUCCUCACGGCUCUCAUAUCCACUUGGUGCCUUUGGCCUUGUGGAGUGUGGGGAGAUAGAGACGGCUGGGAGCAUCUGGAGAGAAAUCUGAGAUAGAGAGAGAUGCAGGUCGCUAUCCUUGUGGGGCUUGUGGGGUUACGUGUCCCCUAAGCUUCCACAUGAUUUGAACUAACCUUGUGACUUAUAUACAAGAUUAUUGUAAAAGAAAAUUACAAAGACAUCCUCCUUGUAAAUCCAAUCUCUCCUCGGACCACAACUCUCGAGUGUUCCUGUACUUGGUGCCCAUUGCCCAAUGGGGGACCAAUUGGAAAAACCUUGAGUCAAGUAAAACUACCAACUCCUCCAUUUACAUGAAUGUCACCCCUCCGCGUAACCUCAAAGCUAUAUUGUCUGACCGAAUUCAAGGAAUCAUCAGGAGGAGCAUUCACUAUCAGACUUUUGCUACCAUCUCUAUACCAUUUAUGAGGGGGAGUUGGUUGGGGGAGGCCACCCCAAUUUGACCACAACAUACCUUUUCUUUCCCAAGUACACAAUAUCAAUACAAAUUUAUAUAUGCGCCAAUUCAAUCAAACAAUUGUAUCCUACUCAUACCAACAAAUAAAAAUUCUAGAAUUCUACCCAACACCAUUCUGGGACCAAUUCCUCCUUUCCAUUUAUAGGGGGCUUAAAAAUCUUUCUAGAAAUUUAACUACACCAUGUAUUGAGUGUUGGGCCCGUAGCACAUACUUCAUGUUAAAAGCUUUUAACAGGAUCAACUCGUAUUCUUAGCAAAAUCAUGAUGAAAACACGACAAAAGAUUGCAGGAUUUAUGUUAACAGCAUCCGCGCUAAACUCCAGAUUUCCUCGUUCAUGUUCACUGCUAAAUCAUGACAACGAUACGACAAAUUGAUCGCAGGAUAUAACCAUAAACAUUCUUUUGCGAACCGAGCACCCAAGAUUAGGGGGUUGGACAUGCCAGAUCAUCCAUGUCAAUGGAGCUGUAAUAUAAUGUCAAAACCCUUUGGAGACCUACAAACAGUUAGUACUGAAUUACCUUUUUGGUAGGGGCUUUAAAAGGUUGGUUCCACUAAAAGUUUGGCUCCAAAAGACCCCCCAUCUGAUGUGUGGCUUAAUUAGCAUAUGCAACAGAAAUAAAGCCGGAAUGAGAGACCCCGGAGUUGAGAAAAUGCACAAAACAAGAGAAUAUAACAACUUCAAAAACACUAGCUGUAUGAUUAAAAGCAUGUUUUCUGUACAUAAGCCAUAACGCCACUCCAUUAUUGCAAAUUUUCCCAACAAAGAAAGACCCAUACAUGUAUGUUAUGAUAUGUACAUAGAUACACUGUCAAUAUAUCCUAAAAGAUGUAAUCUAGAAAGUAAAAACCCCAAACAACAUUUAUUCUAAAGAGAGAGACACAAUUUCCAUAAUCUAGAGCUAAUUAGAACACACUACUUCCCUAUUAUUUACACAAGAAACUAGGACCACCUAUUCCUUGAUCACAUUUUACUUCCACUUUUUGUUGUGUUUGCUUUUAUUUGUUUAUUUAUUCAUUUACUCAUAUAUAUAUAUAUAUAUAUAUUUUUUUUUUUUUUUCAGGAGAGUUUUUUUUUCUUUUCCAUUUACUAAACCUAAAGGACUUUACAGGAUUUCAAGCACCAUUUAUCUAUUUGUGUUAUCCAGUUGAAAGCAGACUGUUGUAUCUUAAACACUCAAAAUGGGGCUCGAUGAGGAAUACCCUUUCUUCUCCUGGCAUUGCUGUGGUUGAAAAUGGGAGGAGUUGCUGGAGAAAUGUUGUUGAUGGUCUCGUCUCCGGAGCUAGACGCAGUGGACUUGUCAGCAGCAACAGUAGCAUCAUGGUGCCCAUCCAGGGAAAUGGUUGGCCCAUCUAUCAUCAGCCGACUGAAAAGAUGCGUCCUCUGAAACUUCCUGGGUGUGGAUGAUUCAUCUGAUUCGGACCCAUGGAAGGUUUCACGACCAUGUUUCAGUUUCAGCCAGAAUGUGAGGUCCGGAUCGCCCCGCUUCAUGGCUCCAAGCUAUCAAUGACAAAGGGUACUUUGGUCAACUGAUUUGUCUUUACAAGGCGUUCACACCAAAGAAGUAAACGUGAGAGUGAGAGAGAGAGAGAGAGACAGAGCAAAGGGAGCAAGAAAUCCAAAAAUACAAAACAAGUCUCCUGGGCAACUUCAAUUUACCCAAAAAGAAGACUUGAUAGGGCAACAAAUAUAAUGGAGAAAUUGGCAUUUCAUAAACGGAAGCAAUGACACCCCUGGGAAAAAUGAAAUUAACAGAGCAGACCCAGAAACCGUAUGUUGAAAACCAUCAACCAAAAUUCAAUGAAUGAAAGAAGUUGGAAAACUGAAAUCAGAGGAGCUGGUGAAGUAAUGAUAAUCAAACAACAGAGGAAACGAAAUUACACAUAGAAAGAAAGGAAAAAAAACGAAGGGAGGGAGGGAGGGAGGGAGGGAGGGAGAGAGAGAGAGACAAACCUUGCAGCCCAAAGAACAGAACCUGAAAGAGUCAAGGAGGCUUCUGCAACAAAUCUCACAGGUGUUGGUGACACCCUUUCCAGGCCUGGGCUGUGGGCGCUCAUUCAGAAAUACAAUCUUCGCACUGUUGAUAACGUAGGUUUGAACGCAAGAUAUGUCGAUGUACUUCUGAAUUUCAUUAACCCUCACCACGUUGUGGUACGAGGAUCGUCUUAUCUGCAACAACCACCACCACCACCCACUCCAUCAAAUUCUCAAGGGAACCCACCCCCACCCCUCAUUCUCUGAAACAAUCAACAACAUUGAAAAAUGUGAAUGCUAAACCCACCUGAACAACGCAGUGAUCCUUGUGAUGGAUCAAACAGUAGGAACAGAGGGCAUCUCCCAUACAAUCCAAACAAAACAUAUUGCAUUCGCUCUUAUUAGAAUCUCCAUGAAUACCGCAGGGAACGAAGUAGCUAGCUCUCAGCAUUGGCUUCAACCACGGCGGACCCAGAUGAUCGUUCCCCAUUCGCCCAAUCGAACUCACCUGUGACACCAAGCACAACUCUCACCUUAGGUAAUAAACCACCCACAAACAAUCAAACCGCAAACAACUAAAACGCCAUGGCUUCCAUCCUCCAUCUGAUUACCAUCACUUUUUUGUGGUGAGGAAUCUCCCGCUGCUGAUUAUCGAUAGCCAGUCUGUUCAGCUCUGGAAGCACAGCAGAAGAAGAAAGGACAAACCCACAUUAACCAGAGAGGAACAAACCCAAAAAAACCAACCUGAAAAGGAGAAAGAAUGAAUCAAAUAAAAUACCCAGAAAGCUUCAAGAGGUGAGAGGGUGAGUGAAGUCGGUCCACAGAUUUGAUUGAAGAAAAGAGGAGUUAAAAGAGAGGAAGAAAGAAAUUUAUAAGGCGGUCACCAAAAAUAAAAUAAAAAACCAAAUAAAUAUUUAAGGAAAGAAACGUGCCCUCUCUAGUCUCUACUCAUAUUAUUUAUUUAUUAUAACAGCCCAUUUUCUGGACGGAUAUCUAUCAUCUAUGCUGACAGCAAUGACCAGAUUCUCCCUUGUCAGCCCUCCGAUCAUAUUCAUCCCCAUCAACUCCCACUCUCCUCCAUUCUCAGCCCUCUGAUCAAAGCCCGGACCCACCUCCUCCAUUUUUCUCUUUUUUCUUCUUUAUUCUUUUUCCUUCUCAGGCCUCAGCAAACAAACACCCAUUCCACUUCACUCCCUCCUCUUUCACAUUAUUUUUAGAUUUAAUUAAAUUUCUAUAUCCCGUGUGUAGUUUACUAGUUUUGCACCAUAAUUGAUUUCAUUAUUCAUUAACAUGUCAUUUUAAGUCACUCAUGCCAUUAUAUUUUAUUAAUAUUUAUUAUUUCACUGCAUUUUACAUGCUCCUGGGAUUAGAUAACGUACAUGUUGAUGUAGGUGACAUCAAUUUCCAGCUGUAUUUAAUUAAUUAAAAUGUAAUAUAAAUAUUAUUGAAUGUAAAUUAAAUUUGAAAACUCAUGAAUAUAUAUAUAAACUUGAUUCCACUGAAUUCCGUGUUAAAUGGAAAAUCCCCACUGGUUGCUUUAAUGAAUGGAUUAGGUUAAUUGUGGGAAUUAAUAUUAUAGAUAAUAAUGAGUAAAAAAAUAAAAUUGAAAAAGAAAUAAUAUAAAUUAUGGGUUAAUUGUGAUUUGUGAGAGCAGCGUAAUAAUAAUAUUAAUAUUAAAAGAAUAAAAAGAUAGCUAUAAAUGGAUUGGAUUAGUGCAUGUACAAGUUUUCUAUACCUGUAAUCAUAUUCAAAAUGCAUUUAAUAAUUAUAUUUUGGUUUUUCUUAUAUGAUAGACAUUAAAAAAUAAAAAAUACGAGUAAAGGAAAUAAAAAAUGAUAAAAAUCAGACAAAAAAAUCCCCAUCCUCGAAAUCAUGGCUUUGCUAAAAUAAUACACUAUAUUCACAAGAUUUGAUAUGUAAAGUACCCUCCCUCUUUUUGUUUGAGACAUAAGGAGAGGAGGCCGAGAGGAGGCCAAGGGGAGGAGUGAGAUUAAGAUGGUUUUUGCAUGAUUCUUGGGAAAGAGUAGAGGCAAAGUGACAUGUGGAAGAUAGGAUAAGGACGUGUCAUGCAUUACAUACACUACACUAUCAUACAAACGCUGCGGCGGCUUUUGGAGGUCUCGGCGGUGGGUGGGUCGGUCAGUCCAGUGCCUCGAUGGAGUUAUAGGGGAUGAUGAUCUCUAAUCUGGGUGGGGAAUUUGGCUAAAGGGAUUAAACAUGGUGGUGGCGUCAGCUAUUAUAAUAUCAGUUUGGUGCUCUGUUUAAAGUAUUCCAAAGUUGGAAAAAUCUAGUAAUACUUAUCCACUUCUCUAAUAAAGCUCAUAUAUUAAAAAAAAAAAAACAAAAGGGACAAUUCUUCCAACCCAAAAUCAUAUCAUUGCUCCACUAACUAAAGCGAGAACCUUGUAUUAAGUCCCUCUCAAAGGCUGUUUCGAAUUUUUGGAAAAGUUAAUCAUGCUGAGGGGAAACCCAAAGCCACUGCCUCACCAGUCUAGCUUUUCUUGAGAUUUCCCAAACACCCUCCUAAAGCCUAAAACCCUAAAGGCCUAAAAGUGAAGAUGCUCUUUUGCUGCCUUCUGCCUUCCAAAUUGUAUGAUUGUAUCAAGGAUAGGCAUGGGCCCAUUCACAGGCGGGACAGAAGCACAUAGGCCCAUCGUUCAUGGGCCUUGGACCUGCCUAAGAAGCCGAUAUUGGGCACUUGGAAUAUGCCAAUCACUUCAGGCACAUACCACCAUAAGAAGAUGGGGAGCAAAUCAGAUCAAAUUUUCAAGGCCCCUAGGGAAUUCAAUUGGAUCGGCAGCCCGCCUUUUAUGGGCCGGCCUGCAAACUCAAGGUGUUUCCUCUGGUGAACAUGAUGUACACCCUCUCUCUCUCUCUCAGCAGCUAUGAGGGAAAAACUCAAAUCAAUAAAUACCCCCCAAAAAAGAAGUCGAUAAAUCUUAUGCUUGGUUAAAAUUCAUUCAAGGAUUAAAUAUAUGUAAGUUUAUAAAUAAUUAAAUAUUGUAAGACAUGACUUAGAUCCUGGUCUUAGAGCUUGUUUGAGAGUCAUUUUAAUAGGGUUAGAAAUGUUUUCCUUCCAAAAAAGCAAAAAAGGGAAAAAAGUGCCACAACUAAAUGUAUUUUUAUUAUAACCACUUGGAGAGGGGCCCUUAAUGCCGGUAAUUGCCAACUGAAAUUGUUGAUAUAUGACAAAUAUGACAAUAAUUAUUAAUCAUAAAGUCAUGCAUAAAAAAAACUUAUGACCAUUAUUCAUGUGCAUCAUUAUGGUAACCCAUGAACCAUUUGCCUGACUUCAUUGAACCUAAAUAGUAAAAUAAGGGUAUAAUUUUGAUACAUGAUUAGGGGAAUGCAGGCUACAGCUAAGUAUCCUAAAUCAGGACAAAGGCACCAAAUAAUGGCUGGAGUUGGUCAUAUUGGAUUAUUCAAUUUAAACUACGAGAUACAUUCGGUGACGGCCUGUUCCCCGGUCGUCCACCACAUUGGCACUUUCAAAUCACUUUCUCCUCUCCCCAAGUUUCAAUUAGAUAAAAAAAAAAAAUGCAAUUCCCAUACCGGAAUUAUAAUGAACAAGUUGAAAAUAGUGACGGAUUUUUUUUUUUUUUAUACAAAAUGAAACAUUUUUUUUAUAAGAAAAUACAAAGGAAUACAACAAAUAAAAUAAAGCACUCUCACCUUUACAGAUAAAUCAAAGUUGGUUUUUGGACCCUUUUUCUCAAUCUCUUCCUCUCCCCUCCCCCUCCCCUCCCCUUGGCCCUUCCCCACUCUUUUUGUGGUUUGAGUAGGCUGUGCAUGAGUGAAAGUGGCGUGGGCCAGAGGAUGGCAGCGGUGGCAGAGGGAAGGAGUAACCUUUUAGCAACAAGACACAAAGCCGCUAGUCAACUACCAAUGCCCAGUGUUCACCUCCUCUGCCUGGAUGCCCAUGUCGGUGAGGCUGCGGUGGUCUCACGGCCUUAAUUUAUAUUUAUAAUUUUCUUCUUUAGAGGAAAAUAAAAAAAUAAUAAAAAAGGGAAAAAAUUCAAGAGAUUUACUAUUGAAACACAUGUAUGGAUCCGAUGGUAUUGCGCUCGAAUUGUUUGAUGGUGUUGGCCAGCUUCGUCAUGUUGUCGUCAUAAACGUAAGGGAGCUUAUCGAACCAGGUGACAUUGUUCUUGGCGGAGAUAGGGAGGAAUUCACGGCAAGGCUCACCCUGUACUGAUAUGGAAUUGUGGUAGUGAUAGUAUCGGAUCUUGGUUUCGGUCUUGUGUAGUGUCUUCCCAAUUACAUUCUCAGACAUGUGUACUCCCGUGGAGUAUGCGUUCUUCGCCUGUAUUGCGUACUUUCUAUCUCGCCGGAUUCUGGUUCGUGAAUCUCUGAACAGCAGCUUCUCGAAUCCCCAUUCCCUGUUUUAAUUACCAAAAACAUUAUCACCACUACCACCCAAUGAGGGAAAAAGAAGAAGUUUAUGAACGGGAAAUGUUGGGACCGUAUGGGUUUCCAGAAAGGAAAGGAAAGUGAAAGAACUGGAUGCCCCAAAUGCAAGGAAUGAAAUUCAGUAAGCUAGAGAUCUAAAGAAUAUUCCAGUGCCAAAAGGGUGCAGAAAUCGAGAUCCAUCCUCAAUUAUGGGUUGGGAAUGAAAAGGGAAGGAAGCAUUGUGAGGAAUUUCAUACCUUGAAUAGUUGCGGGAGGAGUCGUUCAAGCAAAGCACACUGGACAUUGGAUUCUGCUCAAUGGUGAACUGGGUAUAAUCGGAGAAUUCCUCCAUAACGGACUCCAGAGUCCUGCCGUCAGGCAAGUAUAUAUACUCAUCCACGUCGAAGUAGAAUGUCCAGUUGGCAGCGUGUCGGUAACGAUGGAGACAGUCGUUCACCACCAAAAAUUGGUUGUAGUAAUAGCCGUCGAACUCCGCCUGGCCUCUGAUAUCUUGAAUCGUAGCCCACCCAGCUCGCACCCAGGGCUCCAGCGCUGCCCUCACCGCCGGCGACACCCCACCCGCAUCGUGAAACACAAAAUGUGAUUUGGGUCCGAAGAACCACGCAUGAUACGCCAUCCACUCCCGUAUCCUCGCCGCGCUCAGGCUUCCGUACAAAGAUGACCCGCAGUACAGAUACUCAUAUUGAUACGGCGGGCGGUAAUUGGACUCAUUGUAGGACCCUGGUUGUUCCUCCAAGACCGUGAACUUCUCGAAUUUCCUCGGCGACUCGCCAUAGUAGGCACGGAGGACAAGCUUCCCACCAGCGUUGUCCUCGUUUGGGUUUUCAGCGAAUGUGCAGUUCACCACAACCACCGUGUACACCCGACCGUAGCCCCAAUCGGGAAGCAUUUUGUAGGCUUUGGCCCUCAAGGAAGCUGAACCAUUGCUAGAGAUCCACUCGCAUUUGUACCAAGGACGGCCGUAGACGUGAAGAGGCUUGGAAGCCAGACCCACAACAGCGAAUGUCCGAGGACCGCCGCGGUAAGCUCCCAUUAACACGAAGAGAGAGGCCGCGUUGCCGUAGGCGUAGAAGAGGCGCUUGUUAGGGUCUGCGUUGGAGCUGGCCUUUGGAGUGGAGACCUUUUUUUCAGAGACGGAGGAGGAUGAGGGCGGUGUAUACGGGAGGAUGGAUGCAUUACCGGUGGCGAUGGUGGUGGAGGUGGCGGUGGCGGCGGCGGCGGUGGCGGAACAGCGGCUGGUGGUGGAGAUGAGGUUUUCGUAGUAGGGCUGGAGAUUCCAGAUGACCAUGACAAGGGUGAGGGCCAGUAAUGUGGCAACCAGGGGCUUAGUUUCGAAACAUAGGAAUAAUUUGCCGACGGAGUUGCCGGGGACGGUAGCCGGUGAGGCGUCUUUCCU